rnacentral:lncRNA from 1 species
ACAUAAAAAUCUGAGAUUUUUUAUGUGUUAAAAUAUAUAUUAAAUUAUUAUUAUAUUAUAGUAUAUUAUAUUAUAUAAAUAAGUAAAGAAACAUAAGAAACAGAAUGAAAGCAAACGAAACAGAGAAGAAACAGGGGAGAAAGAAAGAAAGAAAAAGAAAAAGGAAAAUUUGGGUUUCAAGGCUCAAAGUUUAUUUUGGUAAGUCAAUUAAGCCAUUUCUUCUUAAAUUUUGAUGUUUUAGAAGCUUUAGAACAAAGUUUUGAUGAAAUUAAGUUGAUAUUUUGAGAGUUUAUAGAUUUUCAAGUAUAGUUCAUGUUGAAUAAAAUAGUGAAUUAAGGGUUUAAUUGAGUAAAUUUCAAGCUAGAAUUGAUAAUAGGAUCAAAUUGUAAAGUAAGUUAUAAGUUUUAUGUUGUAGGGACUAAAUUGAUGAAAUUUUGAAAUUAGGAAAGUAUGCUGGAAAUUUAUUAUUUAAAUGAGAGUAUGGAUGAAAUUUGAAUAGAAAUAAAGUAUGAAUUAAGAUAGAAAAGUAAGUGAAUUUAGUUAGAAUUAAAUUGAAAUUAAAGUAAAUCAACAUUUUGUACUAAGACUAUUUUGGACAGCAGCAGUAGUCUAAGUUUGAAAAAUCACCAAAAAUUGUAGAAAUUGAAUUAGAGGAUUAAUAAAAUAUGAAAUUAAAUAUUAUUGAGUCUAGUUUCUUAUAGAAGAAAUUAUAUAAGCAAUUGAAUUGUAAAUUAUGAGAUAUAAUGAAUUUUGUGAGACAAGGUCAGAAUGAAUUCGGGUUCCCCUGUUCUGACUUUGGAAAAUCACCAAAAAUUGAAUAAAAAUAAUUAGAGGCUUAAAGUUAUAUUCUUAGAAUCCAUAAUGAGUCUAUUUGCAUUAGAAAUCAACGAGAAUGUUAUCCGAGUUCUGUACUGUGAGAUAAUUAAUUUUUAGUGAAGAAGGGACGAAACUGUCAGACAGCGGAAUAGGGGUGAAUUUAAAGAAUAAACUGUACUUAAUGGCUAAACCAAAAAUUCUGAAAAUUUUAUUGUAAGAAGAUUUGUGAGUCUAGUUUCAGGAAAAAUUAGCGGAUCUUAAUUUAGAAUUCUAUAACUCAAGAUAUGAAUUAGUAAUGUAUUAAUGAUUAUGAAUUGUAUUAAUUUCGUAGUCAAUGUGGUACCAGAAAUCUCGGCUAAGAAAGGACAAGACAAAGUCAACGGGAGUUAGCUCGAAAAUUAUGGUUUGUAUUUCUAUAAUCCGAACCUAAUACUUAAUUGUUGAAUUUAUUUCUUAAUAUGUAUAUUAAGUGUUUUGAAGUAAGAAUUAUUGUGUUUUGCAAAUGAAAUGGAUUGAUAUAGUAUGUGAUGAAAUUAUUGAAUUUAUAUUGAUUGAAUUGGCGUAUAUAUAUAGAUAUAUAUAUUGAAUAUUGAAUAUAUAUUGAUUAUUUGAAUUGAAUUGAAAUAUAAAUUGUUUGAAAAUUUUAAAUAUGAGAUUUGUGAUAUUUGGAUAUUUGUUAUUGAAAAGUGAAUUGAAUUGUAUUGAAUUAUGAAUUUAUGUGAUUAAUUAAAAUGUGUAUUGAUUGAAAAAAAUUGAAAGUGAAUUGAAUACCCUAUUAACUAGUCGGGCUGAGUCGGAUAUAGUUGGCAUGCCAUAGGAUUGGAAGUGUUCAGGGAUUCUUCGACCUCGAGUCGAUGAGACACUGGGUGUCACUAUAUUUCUUCGGAUAGAUUCGAUGAGGUACUGGGUACCAACUUUACUUCGGCUAGGCCGAUGAGACACUGGGUGUCAAAUAUUGCUUCGAGCUAUCCGAUGAGGCACUGGGUGCCAUAUUGGUGUGUUUGGUUGGAUCCGUGUAUCCGCCAAGGUCCGAGUCUUGUUAAUAAGGGUAAAUAAGUGAAAAGAUAAGUCGAGUGAAUUUGAUUGAUUGAGCUAUUGGAAUGAAAUGAUAAAUUGAAUUGAGAAUUUAAAUUGAGAUAUGAGAUUGAAAACAUGAACCAAAAGGUUCAUGAAAUGAGUGAAGUUCAAAUGGAUGAUGAUUGAUGUUAGAAUGAAUUAAAAUGGUAUAUUGUUAAGAAAUAAAGUGUGAAAACAAGUGAAUUGUGAAUAUAUUGUAUAGAAUUUAUAUGGUAAGUAAAUGAAAAGAAUUGAACAAAUAUGUUAUUGUGUUUGUUAUAUGACUUGUAUAGAAUUUAUAUGGUAAGUAAUUGAAAAUUUAUCUAUAAAACAAAUAAAUGAAUACUUAUAAUUGUUAUUGUGAUUUUAAGUUUAAUUGUUAUAUUAUUAAGUGUUCGGAUUAUGGAAAUACCACUGAGUAUACCAUACUCAGCGUACGGUUUGUUUCCGUGCGCAGGUUUAGUAAAGAUAGAACGUUGAAUCAGCAUCCCAGUUCGAUCUCGAAUUCAUUAAGGUAAAGUGUGUUAAUUAUUGGUAAUGGCAUGUACCUAGGAUGUUUUAUGAGAGUCAUUUAGGUUGUAGAUGUACUCAUGAAAUGAGUAAAUUAUGGUUGGCAACGGUAUGUAGUAUGAAUUUUGAAAUUUACUAAAAAUUUGUAGUGAUUCUAAAUUAGUCCCGAAUUGAAUUUACUGUUCAUAUUGGACCGCGAGGGCCCAUUAAAGGGACGACAUCUUAAAACUAGGAUGUGUAUAAAUAUUUAUUUUAAUUAAUAACCGAAAUUGGACUGUACUGACUGGUAAUGUCUCGUAACUCUGUUCCGAUGACGGUAUAGGGUUAGGGGGUGUUACAGUCUCGAGUAAGGGGGCGUUACACGUACCCUAUUCUUGGCUCGGAAUAAGGGUAGGAGGUGUUAUAGUGAGAGUAAGAAACUAUGCUUUCGUGAGGUUUUCACCUCCGCAUGGGCUAGUGGAUUGCUUCCGGGAUACAUCUGUUCCUAUAAUUUUGUGAGAUUUUCAUCUCCGCAUGGUCAUAGGGAAAUUGUAUUCCCCUGAAUCGAACCCGAUCCAUAUGAGCCUAUAAUGGGUAAGGAUUGAGGAAUCUGCUGGUUCAGGUACCUUAUUUUUAGAACCGAACCAUAUAUAGCGAACCUUAAGAGCUAUCAUUGGGUGGAGCCACAUCAAGCCUUAGUAUUUGCCCAUAUAUGUGUUAUAAUUGUCUUUUCUGUGCUUCUAUUUUAUCACUAUUAUUUGAUACUAACUUAUGUUUUGUUUUGAUUGUGUUUUUCAUGACAUUGCAUACUAAAGGAGGUGUUGAUUCGUAUUCGAUUAUUAAGUUAGAAAGUUUGACAUGAAGAAUGAAUUUCUUAAUAAAGUUGAGGAUAAUGCAGCCGUCUGCGCAUGGUCAGAGAAGCUACAAUCGGAGAAAGGGGAUAGCUUGGCAGAAGGAUAUAUAUCAGAGUUGCAAGAAUUCACUUGCGUCAAUGUAGCACAGAAUGAAUUGCAAGAGUUGAGAGAUAUAUGGGCUCGUUGGGAUGAAGGGACCAAACAGUUGUUCUAUUAAAGCUAUGGUGAUAUAUCCAACUUGUUAGAUAUUAGGGUGGACAAGCAUGUGUUCCGAGUUAUGGUGCAACUUUAGAAUUCAGCUUACAAGUGUUUCACUUUUGGGGAAGUGGAUUUAGUACCUACCGUGGAGGAAUAUACUACCCUGUUCAGAUGUCUAAAAGUUCAAGUUAGAAGAGCUUAUGCUAAGGUCUUUAAUGGUCUGACUUUCGCGAAGAAAUUGAUGAAUAUUUCAGGGAUGAGCGAGCCUUGGGUCACUGCUCGGAUUUAACAAAAGGGAGAUAGUAAAUAUAUCCCUUGGGAGAAUUUGCGAGACUUGGUUCUAACACAUUCGGAUGAAGGAAAGAGGGUUGACUUCUUCGCUUUAAGCAUUUACGGAUUGGUAAUUUUUCCUAAGGCUUUAAGGCACGUGGAUGAGGCAGUCACUGACUUAUUCGAUUGUCUUGAGAAGGGAAUCACACCUGUACCGACAAUAUUGGCUGAGACGUUCAGAUCCUUGAGCUUGUGUCAGAAGACGGGCGAGGGGCGGUUCAUUGGAUGAGCGCAACUAUUGAUGGUAUGGUUUCAUGGGCACUUUUGGAAGGUGGAUAAGGUUUCUUAUCGAGUCUUUUCUAAAGGUUAUUCCCCGUUAAAAGAGGAGGCAGCCAUACAAAGGAGAAAGGAUAUUUCAGAGGAGAAGUGAAUGAAAAUUAUUCAAAACCUCAAGGAAGGGGAUAUAGAGUGGAGAGUAUUUUGGAUGGUUCCCGAUGAGAUCCUGUAUCGAUGUGGGAACUUUGAUUAGGUGCCGUUGUUAUGAAUUUGGGAGCUACUGGGUAUACUCCAUUGCUUGCAUUCAAGCAAUAUAAAUCGAGGCAAUUUGUACCCGCGGCUUACGGGUUUGCUCAGUGUGAAUUCUCCUUUAAAGGUGAUCACUAUAAAAAGAAGGUUCGGAAACUGUCCGACGCUUAGAAGUAAACUCGUUGGAUGAAGAAGUUGGCUAUCGGUGCCAUGGUGACACCCGAAUACAACGGAUGGUUUAGGAAGAGGGUCAAUGACAAUACUCCUAGGCCAAGUUUAGAAGAUACCCGACCAAUAGUGGAACAAUUACAAAUCGCCCCGUUAGAGUUGGAAAUUAUAAAGCAAGACUUCGAGAAGAAGAGUUCUGAGCUUGGGAAAAAGAUUGAACAAUUGGAGGAAGAAAAGAUGCAUCUGAGAUUAGACGUAGACAUUUAGAGAUCAGAGGCUGAGAAGUGGAGAAAAGGGAAAAGUAAGGCCGAAGAAGAACUAGACAAUUUAGAGACAGAUUAUAAGAAGUUACGCCUGUCUAUGAGGACUGCGGGGUUAGGUAAAACUUCCGAACAAUGACACCAUGAAAGUCGAGAGGAAAAGACCAAAACUGACAGAUGGGAAAUAAAAUUUCGAGAAGCUCAGGCACGAAAUGAAGAUUUAGAGAAGAGUCUGUCAGAAAGCAGAAAUGAACGAGGUGAAUUAAGGGCUAGAGUGGCAGAGCUUGAGAAGUCUCUUCAUCAGUACCGAAGCCGCAAUACCGCAAUGGAGUUGAGAGCAAGCUUGAGUAAGAUUGAAGAAAUGAAAGGAAAAGUAGAAGAUUUAGAAGCGGCACUACAAAACUAUGAGAUGUGGAUUCAGUUUUUCAAGGCAAGUGAGGAGCGUUGGAAGGAGUAGCUUCACCAUGUGCAAGAUCAAGUCAGAAACAGGGAUUACAUUAUAGGGGAAGCCAUAACCCAGAUUCGGGAGGUAGUCGAUUACUUGCAAGCUUUAGUGGUACAAGCUGACACACUGAGCGUGAAGUGCGAGUUGGAGUCCGAUGCUAGCCUCGUUGCUUAGGAAAAUUAAGACUUUGAGCAUUAGAGCGAAGUUUUAUUUGUAACUCAGCUUUUUGUAAAGAAUUUUAUUUUCUAGUGAAGUUUUCUAAAGGUAAUUGAAUCAAAAUUAAUGUCUCCUUUGCAUUCAUGCAUUUGUAUUACAUCACAUCAUUAUGCAUUAAAGGUCAUAAAAAGAUUUCGAUUAAUUAAAAAUCAUUUCAGUAAUUUGGAAACCAACGAAAACCAACCAACUACGCACCCCUACGGUACAAGGAAAAAGUCAAUGGAUAAAAGACUUGAGAAAUUGGAGCAAAUACAAAAGGACAUGCAGGAAUAGAUGCAGUCAAAGAUGCAAGAGCAGCUAGCUAAGAUUCAGCGAGAAAUGAAAGAGCAAAUGAUGGAAUCCUAAAGAGAGAUGAUGAGUCAGUUAUCCCAAUUGCUGAUAGGAAGAAUGGAUAAAGGAAAAGGUCCCAUAGACAAUGCUGGGGAAAAUAAUGAAGACCCUCAAUAUCCUCCUAGCUUCACCCUAACACAUAUACUGAUACAACCUGAGAUUAAUCUGCAAAGACCAUCUGUUACGAUCGUGCCCCUGUAAAUUCAGGCCGAAGCUUAGAUAUUGAUGAAUUUCCAAGCCGGCUCAGGCUCUAACCCUAUUAAUAACCCAAAUAAUACAUUUGUUCCUGAUUUGGAUGAAGUUGCAGAAGAAAAAAAAGGUAAGGAUGGAAUCACAAAAGCAAUUAGAGGAACGGUGUAAAUGGUUAGAGAAAAAUUUUCGGGUAAUGGAAAGCGCAGAUAACCAUCACAGAAUUGACGCUAAGGACCUAAGUUUGGUUCCAGACUUGGUCCUUCCUUCUAAGUUCAAAAUAUCUGAAUUUGAGAAGUAUAAUGGAGCGAGCUAGCCUGAGGCUCAUAUCACUAUGUUUUGCAGACGAAUGACAGGAUACGUCAGCAAUGGCCAGCUAUUAAUUCACUGCUUUCAAGAUAGUCUGGUUGGGGCGACAUCUAAAUGGUAUAACCAAUUGAGCCGUGCUAAGAUUAACUCAUGGAAAGACCUAGCUUAAGCCUUUAUGAAACAAUAUAGCCAUGUGACAGACAUGACUCCCGACAGGAUCACUCUCCAGAAUAUGGAGAAGAAAUCAACUAAAAUUUUCAGACAGUAUGCGCAAAGAUGGAGAGAUGUUGCCAUACAAGUUUAGCCGCCGCUUCUAGAAAAAGAAACUACGAUUCUCUUUAUCAACACUUUGAAGGCUCUUUUAUCACUCAUAUGUUGAGGAGUGCCACCAAAGCUUCUCAGACAUAAUGAUAACAGGUGAAAUGAUUGAAAAUGCUGUAAGUAACAGAAAAAUCGAAGUAGGAGAAAGUACUAAAAGAUCGGCCUCGAGGAAAAGAGAUAACGAAGUGAACAACAUGAACACAUUUAGCAAGGGUCAGUCCAAGUCACUCACUGUAAACCAACCAAAGAUGGUGACCGCCAAUCAACAUAGCGCUAUGAGACAAUAAUCCAACGCGAGGGAGAAUACAGAAAGGCCACAGUUCACCCCUAUACCCAUGACGUAUAGGGAGCUAUACCAGAAUCUAUUCAACGCUCAUGUAGUGUCCCCUUUUUACCUGAAGCCACUGCAACCCCCGUUUCCCAAAUGGUAUGACACAAACGCCCAAUGCGAAUACCAUGCGGGAAUUACCAGGCACUUAAUCGAAAAUUGCACCGCAUUCAAGAAGCUAGUUGAAAGGCUCAUUAAAAUGGGGAUUGUAAGGUUUGAUGACCUAGCCAUACCCAAUGUAGAAGGAAACCUGCUCUCUAAUCAUACCGACCAAGGAGUAAACGGGAUAAGCGAGGGUGGAAACAAAAAGAUCAAGUAUGAGGUUGCAGAAGUCAGGACCCCAUUGAGACGGAUGUGGAAAGAGAUGGUUAAGAGAUGAUUAAUCGUGUUGAAUUUGAGAGAAGAAUCUGAAGAAAAGAGGAACUACUGUGAGUUCCACAACGAGGUGGGGCAUGAAAUUAAAGAGUGUGUGGAGUUCAGGGCCCUCGUGCAGGACAUGAUAAACAAUAGAGAAAUAGAGUUUUAUGAAGAAAUUGAAAACCCCGAAGAGGGAGAUAUAUGCUCAUCAGAGGGAGAAUCAACGACACAGAACCAAACAGUUAAUUACCCCGUGGUCAUCAUAUCACGACCCAAAAGUAAUGAAGCAGUAGUGCAAAUGCCACCGAAAGUCAUAAUCCAAAUACCUGCAGUCUUCCCCUAUAAAGAUAGUAAGAGGGUCCCAUGAAAUUACGACUGUAAUGUGACGAUCUCAAGAAAAGAGAACCUGGUUGACGAUUCAAAAGAGGACCAAGAUAGGGGCUCCUACACACGUAGCGAGAGACGCUACGAUUCAGCAAGCGAGAAGGCAGAACCCUCAAAAGAAAAAGCCAUAGUGGUCGAACAAAAGAAGGAAAAAACGGCCAAAUCUGAACUUCUUGUUAAUAAGCUUGUCAACGAAGAUGGGGCUAAUGAGUUUCUAAAGUUUCUAAAGCAUAGCGAAUACAGUGUUGUGGAACAACUGCAUAAACAACCAGCUCGUAUCUCGAUGCUGGCCUUGCUUCUAAGUUCGGAAGUCUAUCGCAGCGCGCUGAUGAAAGUUUUGAAUGAAACAUAUGGUUCCAAUGAUAUCUCCGUCAACAAGCUAGACCGCUUGGUUAGCAACAUAAGUGCCGAUAACUUUAUUUUCUGCAAUGACGAUGAGAUACCACCCGGUGGCAGGGGGUCGACUAAAGCUUUACAUAUCACCACACGUUGUAAGAGAUAUACGUUACCAGGAGUACUGAUUGACAACGGGUCGGCCUUAAAUGUCCUACCAUUAUCCACACUAAGCAGAUUACCUGUAGACACUCUCACAUGAAAGAGUGCCAGAAUAUAGUGAAGGCAUUCGAUGGUACGGAGAAAAGGGUGAUGGGCAAAAUUGAGAUACCUCUUCUGAUCGGACCAAACACAUAUGAGGAGGAUUUCCUGGUGAUGGAUAUCAAGCCUUCAUACAACUACUUAUUGGGGAGGCCCUGGAUACAUUCAGCCGGGGCAGUGCCUUCAUCGUUGCAUCAAAAGUUGAAGUUAGUAUCAGAGGGGCGAUUGGUAACAAUAAAUGUUGAAGAGGAUAUCAUUGUAGCUGUAAGCAGUGAUGCACCCUAUUUGGAGACAGAUGAUGAAGUAAUCGAAUGCUUGUUUCCGUCUUUGGAAUUUGUUAAUGCAACAUUCAUUACUGAGUGGAGCAGGAUUCUGAUACCGAAAUUAUCCAAAACUACAAUGAUGAGUCUACAGUUGAUGGUUGGAAAAUGAGCUCUACUAGAAAGAAGACUCGGAAGACAUCUCCAAGAAAGGGUUGAAACGCCAGACUUGAAAGACAAGAGAGACCGCUUCGGCUUAGGAUUUAGGCCAGAUAUGAGACAAAGGAGAAAGGAACUGGAAAAGAAACACGAAAGAAGGAGAGCAAGGCUGAAGGGGGAGAAAAUCAAAUAGGAGCCAAUGAUAUUCCCCCAUAUAUUGAAAACUUUUAUGUCCGGAGGAAUCACUCAUCCCGAGCGGGGCACGCCAAGAAAGGAAGCCAUAGAAGAAAAGUUGGAAGACUUAGACAUCAAUGCCACAUAUGAAGAAGGGGUAGGAGGAAGAAAUUUGUCGGGCAUUGGCCCCUACAUACCUUGAAGUGUUCUGGAUAACUGGACUGCGGAAGAGAUUCCUGUAGUCUUUAGAGCUGGCUCAGAGUAAUGUCCAAAACACACUUAUUGCUCUAGGCCUAGGAGUAAUAAGAAUCUUUUGUGAAAUAGGCCUAUGUUCAAGAACGUUAUUUCAAUAAAAUGCACAGUUAUUAUCAUUUUGAGCAGAUAUUCUUUCAUUCUUUCCAUUUCAUUUAUAAUCAUACUAUACAAAUGAUUACUUUUGGAUUCUUUUGUCCUUCGAACAUUCUUCUAAAUAUUUUUUCGUUCUUCAUUCAUAAUCGCACUAUACAGAUAAGUAUUCUUAAAUUCUUUUGGUUAUUUGUAUCUUCCUUCAUCCUCAUAAUAGGUCCCCAGAUAUCAAUGAUAUCAGUGACACUGCUAGUGGCUCAGAGUCUCUUUUUGAGUGAGAUAUGUGUUUGGAGGAUUCUCAGGAUUUCGAGGAUGACCAAGGCUGUAACCUAUCUCUUGAUUUGUUGAGGAUGGUAGAACAAGACAAGAAACAAAUCCUGCCUCACAAAGAACCGAUAGAAAUUGUGAGCAUAGGAGAAGGACAAGAGGUGAAGAUCGAAACUUGUAUCACCAAGGAGAUGAAGCAAGACCAUAUCGAAUUGCUUCAAGAAUUCAAAGAUGUCGUCGCAUGGUCAUGCCAAGAUAUGCCCAGGUUGAACACUGAUAUCGUGGUGCACCGACUCCCUAUAAAGGAAGAAUGUAAGCCAGUUCAGCAAAAACUUCGAAAAAAUGAGGCCCGACGUCUUGCUAAAAAUAAAAGAAGAGGUUAGAAAGUAGUUUGACGUUGGAUUUUUAAAGGUGGUAAAAUACUCAGAAUGGGUAGCCAACAUUGUCCUUGUCCCUAAAAAGGAUGGAAAAGUAUGAAUGUGUGUAGACUACAGAGAUUUGAAUAAAGCCAGCCCGAAAGAUAAUUUCCCACUGCCUUACAUCGACACCUUAGUGGACAACACGGCAGGACAUUCACUGUUUUCCUUCAUGGAUGGUUUCUCCGGAUAUAACCAGAUCAAGAUACAUCCUGAAGAUAUGGAGAAGACCAUAUUUGUAACCAUGUGGGGCACGUUCUGCUACAAGGUGAUGCCGUUUGGACUGAAAAUAUAGGGGCAACAUAUCAAAGGGCCAUGGUAACCCUAUUCCACGACAUCAUGCACAAAGAAAUCAAAAUUUAUGUUGAUGAUAUGAUCGCAAAGUCCCGAACAGAGAAGGAGCAUGUACAAGUCUUGAGGAAGUUGUUCUUAAGGUUGAGGAAGUUUCAGCUAAAACUCAAUCCGGCCAAAUAUACCUUCAGAGCCAAGUCUGGAAAGCUUCUCAGAUUCGUGGUUAGUGAGAAAGGGAUUGAGAUUGAUCCAGAAAAAGUCAAAACCAUACAAGAGUUAUUCCGCCGCGUACCGAGAAAGAGGUUCGAAGCUUUCUAGGAAGAUUAAAUUACAUCGCUCGGUUCAUCUCACAACUAACAGAGAAAUGUGAGCCUGUUUUCUGCCUCCUCAAGAAACACAACCCAGGUGUAUGGGAUGAAGAAUACCAAAGGGCUUUAGACAAGGUCAAAUGAUACUUAUCCAACGCUUUAGUGCUGAUGCCACCUAACCCUGAUAAGCCAUUGAUACUGUACUUGGCAGUAUUUGAGAAUUCCAUAGGAUGCGUACUUGGUCAGCAUGAUGAGUUAGGAAGGAAAGAAAAAGCUAUUUACUAUCUUAGUAAAAAGUUCACUGAAUAUGAGACGAGAUAUCCGCCGAUAGAAAAUUUUUGUUGUGCCCUGGUUUGGAGAACCCGAAGGUUGAUGCAGUAUAUGUUGUAUCACACUACUUGGCUCAUCUCAAAAUUGGACCCUUUGAAGUACAUGAUGGAGUCAACAGUUUUGAAUGGAAGGAUGGCCCGAUAGCAAAUUCUGCUCUCUGAAUUCGACAUAGUCUAUGUGAACCAGAAAGCAGUAAAAGGGAGUGCAAUAGCAGAUUUUCUAUCCAGUAGAGCUCUGGAAGAUUACGAGCCCUUGAACUUCGAUUUCCCAAAUAAAGACUUGAUGUGUGUUGCGACCACUGAAGAAGGUGCUCUGAAAGAACUUCCCUGGAAACUAAACUUCGAUGGGGCAUCAAAUACUGUGGGUAAUGGAAUCGGGGCAGUCUUGGUAUCUUCAAACGAAGAUCAUUAUCCAUUUACUAGUAAAUUGGAUUUUGAUUAUACGAAUAACAUGACAGAAUAUGAAGCAUGCAUCAUAGAUAUCCGUGCAGCCAUAGAGCGCAAGAUUAAAGUGCUAAAGGUGUAUGGAGAUUCUGCGCUAGUGAUUUAUCAACUCAAGGGAGAAUGUGAAACCAGAUAUCCCAAGUUGAUCGAUUAUCGAAAACUGGUCCUUGAAUUGGUUAAAGAGUUCGAUGACAUUACCUUCCGCUACCUUCCACGAGAUGAAAAUCAGAUUGCCGAUGCUUUGGCCACCUUAGCUUUCAUGAUCAAGGUGAACAAAGAAAAAGAUUUCAAACCCAUCCGGAUGAGCAUCUUUGAAACUCCGACUCACUCUUACAAUAUUGAAGAAGACGAAAAAAAAGAUGAUCACCCUUGAUAUCACGAUAUAUUGCAAUACGUGAGGAAUCGUGAGUACCCAGACCAGGCAAGCGAGAAUGACUAAAGGACACUGAGAAGAUUGGCCAUUGACUAUGUCUUAGAUGGGGAGAUCCUAUACAAAAGAAGAAAGGAUCAAGUGUUAUUAAGAUGCGUAGAUGCUGUAGAGGCUAAGAAAAUCUUGGAAGAAGUCCAUGAAGGCUUCUGUGGGACACACGCUAAUGGCUUUACGAUGGCCAAACAAAUUAUGAGAUUCAGGUAUUAUUGGUCCUUCAUGGAAGGAGAUUGUGUCAAUUACGCCAAGAAAUGUCAUAAAUGCCAAAUCUAUGGAGACAAAAUUCAUGUGCCUCUUUCACCGCUGCAUGUCAUAACUUCCCCAUGACCUUUCUCUAUGUGGGGUAUGGAUGUGAUUGGACCAAUAUCGCCGAAAGCUUCUAAUGGGCAUCGGUUUGUUUUUGUAGUUAUCGACUACUUCACCAAAUGGGUAGAAGCCGCUUCAUAUGCCAAUGUUACAAAGUCGGCAGUGAGCAAAUUGCUAAAAAAGGAGAUCAUAUAUUGAUAUGGAAUGCCAGAGAGAAUUAUAUCUGGCAAUGAGUUAAACUUGAACAACAGUAAGAUAGCAGAAGUCUGCAGUUGAUUCAAGAUUAGACACCACAACUCAUUACCAUAUCGCCCGAAAAUAAAUGGGGUAGUGGAAGCGGCCAAUAAAAACAUUAAGAAGAUUGUGGAGAAGAUGACUGAGACCUACAAAGAUUAGCACGAGAAGUUACCAUUUGCCCUCUUCGCUUAUUGAACAUCAGUCAGAACCUCAACUGGGGCAACGCCUUUCUUUUUGGUCUACGGAAUGGAAGCGAUUUUGCCAAUCGAAGUCGAGAUUCCAUCCCUUCUAGUGUUUUCGGAGCUAAAGUUAGAUGAAAUAGAAUGGAUCCAGUCUCGAUACGAUCAAUUGAACUUGAUUAAAGAAAAGAGGCUAAGAGUUAUCCGUCAUGGUCAGAUGUACCAAAAAUGAAUGAUGUGGGUUUAUGACAAAAAAGGUCCGCCCAAGAGAGUUUCAUGAGGGAGAUCUGGUUCUGAAAAAGAUCCUUCUUAUAUAAAAGGAUUUUAGAAGAAAAUAGAUGCCCAAUUGGGAGGGGCCUUACGUGGUGAAGAAAGCUUUAUCCAAAGGAGCAUUAAUUCUAGCCAAAAUGGAUGGUAAAAACUUGCCCAAUCCCGUGAAUUCAGAUUCCGUCAAAAAGUAUUUUACCUAAAGAGGAAGAGGCCAAGGUGAAAACUCGCAAAGGGCGCUUUGGAAAAAAAAUGGAAAGGCCAAUGUGAAAACCCGCAAAGACACUUUGAGACCAAAUGGGUUUUGAGAUAAAAACCUGAAAACAGAUCAAAUCUUGAAUACGGGACAUGUGGUAGUCUUGUCCUCCCAAAUUAACAAGAGGGAAGAACUGUACAUCUUGGAGCCGCAACAAAAUACGCGGGAUCUCCUGAAUACAUAUUUAGCUCGAAAUGGCCUUUGAAAAGUUGGAAUAGUGAAGCUCGUGCUGUGAUAUCUGGGGCACCUUCUUCUCAUCUUAUUCUGUACCUUAGUAGAUUUGCUAUCUUGUUUAAUUUAUUCACUCUGAGUUUUGCUCUCAAUAAAAUUCCAUCUUGUCUAUUAUGAUGACCCCUUUCGAGCAUUUUUGUUGAAAUCACGAUUUUCAGACUUAUAAUAUUCACACAAAAGAAGUUAUGCAUAUUACUCUGGAAGGUCUCUAAAUAGUACAAGGACCUGAAAUAAAGCCACUAGUUAGGACUAACCAGAUUCAAAAGUUGGAAAUGUUGAAAAAGAAUAGUCCAAAUUGUGACUAUUUCUUCAAAUUUUCUGUCAAAGAUACCGGCUAAACAAGAAGAGACGAUAGCACAUCAAUGAUAGAACCCUGAUGAACUAUAAGUAAUGAUACCUUAAGUUUUUAAAAAGGAAUCACUCUCAUAACAAUUCUACAUUUAUAAUCAUUCAUCUAGUUAGGAGCAUUUAACUCAUUUUGAUUAUGGCAUCCUAAUUAUUUGGCGUAAACAUAGGUAUAGGAAACCGAUUCUAAAAAUCAUACCCUUAGAGGACGGUGUAGCAUUCGGUGAAUUCACAGAUCUUGUCUCCCUAAAGUUACAGUGGAACAGAUCAAAGACGGCAAGCCUUAACCCCUUAAGUAGUAGGGUAACAGGCUGAAGAUUACAGAUCUUGUCUCCCUAAACAGUAGUGGAGCAAAUCAAAGAAGCAAGCCUUAACCCCCUAAGUAGUAGGGUAACAGGCUGAAGAUUGUAGAUCUUGUCUCCCUGAAGCAACGUGGAAUAGAUCAAACAAAGUGAGCCUUAACCCCCUAAGUAGUAGGGUAACAGGUUGUAGAUCUUGUCUCCCUAAGCAGUAGUGGAGCAAAUCGAAGACGGUGAGCCUUAACCCCCUAAGUAGUAGGGUAACAGGUCGAAGAUUAGCAGAUUUUAUCUUCCUGAAGUUACAGUGGAGCGGAUCAAAAUCACAAUCCUUAUCUCUCUGAAGCUGCAGUAGAGCAGGAUAAAAUAGACAAACCAUAUCUCCCUGAAGUUGCAGUGGAGCAGUUGCAGUAGAGCAGACUGAAGUUGGCAGAUCUUAUCUCCCUGAACUUACAGUGGAGUAGAUUGGAACUACAAUUCCUAUACCCUUGAAGUUGCAAAAGGAUUGGAACUAAGCUAAUUCGAAGAAGAAGCGCUUCAAAGAAGUCAUGAUUUGAUGAGACCGGGCAAAAUUGGUCCUCUUUGAAGUCUUUGCUCUAUUCUCAUUACACGACACUGAGCAAAGAGGGGCAGUUGUAAUGGGCCAUUUUUGCCCGGGCCCGAAGAAGAACCAAAAUACAAAAUAAAAACAAUAAAUAAAAAGACCAAAUUAUAAAGUCCAUCAGCCCAUCAAUCCAACUACAGUCCAUUUACACAUUAAAAGGGCCCGGAGUAAAACCCAAAACUAAUCAGCUCAAUUAACAAAUCCCUAACCCAAAAAAAUACAUGGCCCAAUGGCCCAAAACCUAGACCUAGGUUCGGCCAAACGGAACCCUAGGUCACCCCCCUUUGCGCCGCAACCAAACAGCAGCCCUCAGCCUCCUGGCGCCACAGCCACGCUCGCGCCUCCGUACGCCAGCGCAUAAUCACGUACAAUGCUAGCAAACUCCGUACCUGCAAGCAAAUGAAAAGACACCAGCACAACAAAGAAAAGAAAACAAUUUUUUUUCUUUUUCGUUUUUUCUCUGUUUUCGGCUAUAAAAGCCAUGUAAUAUUCUAAGUUUUUUUUUAGACAUGAACGCAUACUGAAUACAAAAAAAGGGCAUUUCGAAAGCAAAUCAGAAGAGGUGACUUUUAGUUUUUAUUCCGAUUUGAUUUUUAUUUUCUUUCUUCGUGUUUUUUUUAUUUAGUGUAUAAUAAAAAAGGAAGGAUCUAACCUGUGUUUGGGAGCCUUUGAAUCUAUGCUUGUUUCGUCAUAAUCGAAACUUAGUAGCGAUUUAGAGCUUGCGAGUAAGACUCGCAAACUUGUGGUUCAAUAUGAAGCCUUGAUUGACCAUCGAAUGGGUCGAAAGGAAAGGUAAGAGAAUCGUCGAUGGAGGGCUUGUCGAUUGGCCGAAUAUUGAAGGGAAAAGCUUUGUUUUCUUUCUCCUUUUUUGAAGCGGCUAGAGGAUUUACUUAGGGUAGUUUUGCUUUUAUGGGGAUUUACUUAGGGUUUGUUUUGGCUGCUAUGGGGAAUAUUAAGUGACACCGUUUCAGGCUAAUAAUAAUAGCCUCAAAACGGCAUUGCUUAAAAGGGAGGGGGUAUUUACACGAUAGGUCCUCCCUUUCGUGUGUGCACUCGAUUGCACCUUGUUUACUUUGUUUUGUUUUUUUAAUUUGGUUUGGUAAGUCGUAUUCAUUUUCAAUUGGGUCCACGCCUCAAUAAGGAUCUGGAAUAAUUCCAGUUUUAGUCCUUGUGCAUUUGUGCACAUUACACGCCGGUCCUUAUUUUGGUUUCUUUUAUUUAGAAAUUAUCCCUUUUAUUUUUAAGUUUAUUUCAUUAAGCUUCCUAUUUGAAAUAUUUAUUAUUUUAAAAUUCAUUUAAUACUUUUAUCUAUUUUAUUAACUUUGCUUUGUUUUUUAUUUAUUUAUAUUAUUAUUUUGAAGUUGGUUUUUUCAUUUAGACAUUUUUGUGUAUAUUCGUAUAUAUAUUAUUUUGGUUAGAUGAUUGUUUUAAAAUUCAUCUUUUGUUUAUAAAAUCAUUAUUUUGAAAGUCAUUAUAUCGUAUUCUUUUAGUAUAUUAGAUAGUAUCUCAUUUAAAUGUGUUUUUUAUAUAUACGUAGAUAUAUAGUAAUAUUAAUUUAAUCUUGUAUGCGUUUCCUUGUUAUUUUUUUUAAAUAAUUAUUUUUAAAUUUAUAUAUGAUUUAUAAAUCUAUGAUAUGUAUGGUUUAUCUCCCUAGAUUAUAUUUCAUUAUAUAUAUUUUCAUUAUAUUUUCAUAUUUUAUACAUUAUUAAAUUCUCCUUUAUUGUAUGUAUUUUUUAAAAUGUUUUUAACACCUUGUAUAUUAUUUGACUUUAAAAAUCUUCAUUCUAUAAUACACAUUUUAAAUGAUUAUAUAUAUCUCUAGUUUUUUUAAAUCCAUCAAUUCAUUACAUAAUAUAUAUUAUGUACUUAUCAUUGUUUUAAACAUGUUUUAUACCAUAUUGCUUCUUUGAUUUGCAUUUUGUUUUGUGCAUCUUGUAUUGAUCAUUUUAUAUUAUGCCAUGUAUGUUAUCGUUGCAUAUUAUUUAUUCAUUUUAUUGUUAUAUCAAUUGUCCUCCAUCCAUGUUUAGAAGUUCGAUUACAUUCGUCUUAGGCUAGUCAUACUUGAUUAUCAUUUUGUUAAUUGGCAUUGCAUCUUAUGAAAUAUUGCUUUAUAACUCCUAACUCCUUAUAGUUAAUUAUUUCAUCUUAUUUCAAGUAAAAUUAAUACGUUUUAAGCUAUUUCUAUGAUUGUUUAUUUGAAGAUUCGUUAAAACAAAGGCAAUAUUCGAUGUUUGGAAAUUCGGGGAAUAGUGCCCUAUCGUUCUGGGUUUCGAUUUCCCGUUUGUUCAAAAUAAUCAAAUAUUCCUUUAGAAUUUUACUCGUGUUUUUCCAAACGAUAAAACAAGGCAAUAUCUGAUGUUUCAAAAUUCGGGGAAUAGUGCCCUAUCGUGCUGGGUUUCAAUUUCCCGUUUGUUCAAAAUAAUCGAAUAUCCCUUUGGAAUUUCACUCGUAUUUUCUAAAGCAAGGCAAUGUUUAAUGUUUGGAAAUUCGAGGAAUCGUGCCCUACCGUGUUGAGUUUCGGUUUUUCGUUGGACUAAAUAAUUGAGCAUCCUUUUGUAAUUUACAACAUAUGAACUUUUGGAAGUCGAAAUUUAUCAUGUUUUCGAGGGUAUAAAGGAUCGUGUCCAAUCGUGCUGGAUGUGAUGCUAUAUUCCUCUGAAACAAGAGAAUUUGGACGACCAACUUGAACUAUUCAAAUGUUUUCAAAGGAAUCAUAUUUCAAAAAAAAUUUUAAAUCUUAGACAUAAGGACAGUAUUUAAUCGAUUUGGUACCAAUUUUGGGCGUAGUGAGGGUGCUAAUCCUUCCUCAUGCGUAAUCGACUCCCGAACCCGUUUUCUCAAAUUUACGUAGGCCAAAAUUGGUUUAAAUGGAGUAAAAUAUUUUAUUAAGGUGAUCCAAUCACACUGAAACAAUAGAUUGUUGGCGAGUUCAUAUUUCGUUUUCAAAGUCGAUCCACGUUUUUGUUUUCAAAUUUAAAAGAUGGUUUCGACACAUAUAUUUAAUAUUAAAUAGAUAUUUAUUAUUUUAUAAAAGAUAUUUAUUAAUUAAAUAAUUAUAUUAUAAGAUUUUAUAUGAUAAAUAUAUUAAAUAAUGACAAAUGUUUGGUUAUAAAUGGAUACAAAUGUACUAAUAAUAUACACAUGAAUAAAUAAAUAAUACUUAUUAUUUAAAUAUAAAUACAUGUGUGUAUAUAUAUAAUAAAGAAAUGAAGAAAGAAAAAGAGAAUAGAGAUGAAGAAAAAGCAAACGAAACAGAGAGCAGGGGAAGGAAGGAAAGAAAAAAAAAAAGAGAAAGGAGAAAAGGGAAGAUUAAAGGAGUGAAGCUUGGAAGUUUAAUAGGUAAGUUAAUUAAGUCAUUUUCUUUUAAUUUUGAUGUUUUAAAAGUUUUGGAAUAAGGUUUUGAUGAAGUUAAGUUGAUAUUUUGAAAGUUAUUAGAUUUUUAGAUAUAUUCAUGUUGAAUGAAAUGAUUGAAUUAGGGAUUAAAUUGAUAGAAUUUCAAGUUAGAAGUGAAAUAAGGAUUGAAUUGUAUGAACUGUGAAAUUUGGGGCAAAAUAGAAAUUAACAUCUUGCACUAAAACAGUUUUGGACAGCAGCAGUAGUCUAACUUUGAAAAUUCACCAAAAAUUAUAGAGAUCGAAUUAUAGGAUGAAUAAAAUAUGAAAUUAAAUCUUAUUAAGUCUAGUUUCUUAUAGAAGAAAUGGUGUAAGCAAUGAAACUGUAAAUCAUGAGAUAUAAUAAAUUUUGUGAGAUAAGGUCAGAAUGAUUUUGGGUCCCCCUGUACUGAUUUUGAAAAAUCAUAAAAAAUUGGAGAAAAAUAAUUAUGGGCUUAAAUAGAAACAAACGGAAACAUAAUUUGAAUUCUAUAUGAGGAGAUAAUUAAUUUUUAGUGAAGAAGAGUCAGAACUAUCAGACAGCAGAACAGGGGUAAAUUUAAAGAAUAAACUGUACUUAUUGGCUAAACCAAAAAUUCUGAAAAUUUUAUGGUAAAAAGAUAUAUGAGUCUAGUUUCAGGGAAAAUUAGCGGAUCUUAAUUUGGAGUUCUAUAUCUCCAGAUAUAAAUAAUUUAGUGACUAUGACACUGAUGGACAACUUGAAUAUUCAUAAAAGUAAAUAAUAAAAAUUAUAGAUGAUGUUACUUACAAGUGUGUUAUAUACAUUAAGGAUGUGGAAUGGAGAGGAGGAGGAGGAAAAUAUAUAUGAUAUCCAGCUAGCAUGGCUAACUUCCAUGUUUUAGGCUUAAGGACUAAAUUGAAUAAAAGUAAAACUUCAGGGGGCAAUUUUGUAAAACUAUCAAAAAUGACCAAAUUAAAGGGAAUGAAUUGUUUUAUUAUCUAAAUUAAUAAAUUGAAUAAAAUUUUCAAUUUAAGAUCGAGUGAAAAUCGAUAUAUUUGAUAAAAUGGGAAGAAAUCCCGGUUGAAUAAAAUGAAAUUUCAAUGGAUCUCUGAAAAGGAAUUGACGGUAAAAAUGAUCUAGCCGGACGGGUGAUCCUAUCCUGAUGUAGCCCUCCCGAAGAAUAUGUGUAAAACGGAUUUAGCCCGGACGGGUAAUCCGAAUUAGGGUUUGAAUUUAGCCUGGACUGGUAAUUCAGAUCCAAGCUCAUUAGAGUAAUUGUCGUUGCAGGAGAUUUAGCCCGGACUGGUAAUCCCGACAAUACUCUAUGAGUUUAUAUUACAGGGGAUUUAGCCUGGACUGGUAAUCCCACUGUAAGGAUGAGGUUCGCGGGAGUGUGCUCUCUGAAAUGAAAUGUGUAAGACCAUAGUUGAAAGAUACCAUGGCAACCUAAUAUGAAAUGUGUAAGACCAUGGUUGAAAGAUACCAUGGCAACCUGAUAUAAAAUGUGUAAGACCAUGGUUGAAAGAUACCAUGGCAACAUGAAAUAAAAUGUGUAAGACCAUGGUUGAAAGAUAUCAUGGCAACGUGACAUGAAAAGAAUAAGACUAUGGUUGAAAGAUACUAUGGCAACAUGACGGGAAUGAAUAAGACCAUGGUUGAAAGAUACCAUGGCAAUGUAAUAUGAAAUGAAUAAGACCAUGGUUGAAAGAUACCAUGGUAACCUGACAGAAAAUGAGUAAGACAAUAGUUGAAAGACACUAUGGCAUCAUGUCGAAGAUAAAUAAGACCCUGAAUGGGAGAUACUAUGACAUCAGUUGAACAAUUGAUAUUCAGGUAAUAUGUAUCAGAUGAUGAAGGGUUAUACGAAAUGGUUCUGUGAAAUGUUUACAAGAAUUGGUUAUAUGGAAAUAUAUGUACAAAAUAGUUGUAUGAAAUAAUUAAGAAGAUAGAUAAAUGAAAUAAGUAUAGGUACAUGGAAUUUAAUUUAUAUUAAGUUUAAUAUGAACUAUUACCAAAAUAAAUAUACAUAAGAUAUAAGGAAAUGAUGGUGCAUGAAAUAUACAUAUAACGAAAUGAAUGAUAUAUGCUUAUGAAGAAACAAUAAGAAAUUAAUAUGUUUUGUGACAUGUACAUAUAUAAUUAUCUUUGAUAUGUUGAUACAAAGAAAUUAUGUAAGUUGAGAUUAUUAUUAAAUUCAAGUGUGAUAUGUUGAGAAAAUAGGGAUAUCAAUGUUGAAUUUAUAUGAAAUAUGUACUAGUAUACUAACAAUGUUGCUGUUUGAUGCUUAUACAAGUGCCAAGUUGUUGAUUGAACGGUAAUAUAUUUAUUUAUAUGAUGCAUUGAAUCGGUAAGAAUUUAAUUAAAUUUUUUUUAGGUGAUCUGUAAAUUCUAGUAAUGCUCCGAAACCCUGUUUCAACAACGGAUACGGGUUAAGGGUGUUACAAUUCAAAUGUUUUAAAAUGAACCAUAUUUCAAAAAUAGUUUUAAAUCUUAGACAUAAGGACAGUGCUUAAUCAAUUUGGUACCAAUUUUAGGCGUAGUGAGGAUGCUAAUCCUUCCUCAUACGUAACCAGCUCCCGAACCCGUUUUCUCAAAUUUACGUAGACCAAAAUUGAUUUUAAUAAAACAAAGUGUUUUAUUAGGUGACCCAAUCACACCUAAAUAAAAUAUUGGUGGCGACUCCACAUUUGGUUUUCAAAAAGUCGAUCCCCGUUUUGUUUUCAAAUAAAAAAUGGUUUCGACAACAUCAUCUAUUUAACAAAAUUUUUCCCUCAUUUUCUUUCUUGCCAAACACUAUUUUUCUUAUUCAAAACACAACAUUCUUAAACAUGUUCAGUCGUUCAUUGAUCUAACUUCAAAAUUUCCAUUCUUGAACAUGAAGAUUGAUUAAACUUUUUCAUCAGAUAUCAUGCAUACAUUAAAGAAAUUCCAAAGCUCUGAGUAUAGAUUCCAGAAAUUUUCCACAAUCUAAUAAGAUACAUUAGUCUUUCUUCUAAAAAUAAUAAAGGAAAAAAAAUGCCUAAGCAAGUAGUAGACAAUAACAAACAACAGCAGAAUUACCUUCGAAUCAAACUCUUGAACUUCUUUGACCAAAUUAAAACAUGAAACCCAGCAAAUAGGAAGUAGAUCAGAAAAAUCUUUCUCUGAAAAGCUUGCAUCUUCAACAUGUAAACACAAAAAUCUGCAGGCAGCCAGCUAAAAUAACAUACAACAUAGUGAGUGAGUACAACAACCUUCAUAAAUAGAUUAUUAUUAAGGGGCAGAGAGAGGAGGGAAACAUGAUGAAAAAGGAAAAGCAAACUUCUAAAAGAUACCCUCACAGAUAGAUCUUUGUCCUGUAACAACCGUAUCAAGGCACAGUAUACAGGCCUCUUUGUGUCAUUCUUAAUCUGCAUGAAUGCAAAUAUCAGAAAAGAAUCAUUAUGAGUAACUUCCCGCAGCAACCAAAGUAGAAAUUUAAGAGGAAUAACAAAUAAUACAUAGUAUUAUAUCGACAUUCAAGAAUGAAAAAUUUGAAGAUGAAGAUCAAUGAAUGACAAAACAUGUUCAAGAAUGUUGUGUUUUGAAGAGAGAAAAUGAGAGAAAAAAAUGGCAGCCGAUAGUUGGGGGAAAAAAAUAAUGAAUUUAAGUCGAAACUUGAAAGUGUGGGGUGGGUUUACAAAAAUUACACAAAAGCAUGAUUAUAAUCAUGGUAAUGGAGAUUUCCAUAUGUUUUGAAGAAGAAAAAUGGUGUUUGGCAAGAGAGGAAAUGAGAGAAAAAAAAUGGUAGCAACCAUGUGUUUUGAAAAAAAAAGUGAUGUUCGGCAAGAGAGAAAAUGAGAGAAAAAUUUUUGUUAAACAGGUGACGUCAUUUAUGACGUGUGCGCUUAUGUGGCAUGCCACAUGGGCUACUAUGUUGACCUACAAUUUGAUUAACGGUCAACUCACAUUGACCGUUAAAAGUGGACUGAUUUCUGAAAAAAUCGUAACAUUGAGAGUGUCAAUCAAAAAAUAAAAAGGUUAAGGGCACAAAACCAAAAGCCCUCAAAUGUUGAGGGUUUUUUUUUGCAAUUAUGCCUUUAUUUAUUCUAUUGUUGGAAUUGAAUUAUUGUUGGAAUUAUAAUAUUGAAUUGAAUUUUGGAUUGAAUAGAACGCGAGAUUUGAGUACAUUCGUAUUUUGGUGUAUGAUGGUAUUGGAAGGAGACAACGCCAUUUUUUCCAAGUAAAUCAGGGUUAAGCAUUUGUUGUGAACUCUCAUGUUUUACUUUCUAUUUAGCUCUUAUGAGCUUAUGUUCACGAGUUUCUGUUCAUCUUUCGAGCUUUUAUUGUGUAUUCAGAAAGACUAGCUCUUAUGAGCUUCUAUUAACGAUGUACUCUUAUGAGUAAGUCAUUUUUCGAAUGGAAAAAUUUUGGUAAGAUGAUUUAUCUAAUGAAUUUGAAAGACAUGUUAUUAUUGAUAUGAAAAUGGAUGUAUUUAUUAAUAGAAGUUAUGAAUGACAAGAAAUUGUCAGUGAAUGAUAGGGAAUUGAUAUGAAUGAUUUUAUUUAUUUUACUUGUUAUGUUAGGUUCGGUAAGAUUUUUGUUUAAAUCGUCGAACUUACUAAGCUUCAUUAAGCUUAUUUGUAUUGUCUAAUAUCUCUAUAGAUUUUUAGAAGGUUGGAUGAUUGGAUCAGCACUCAAGUCACACUAUCCAGCUUAUCUCGGUAGUUUUUGAAACAUUAAAUACGGUUUAUAUAGCAUGUAUAGGCUUUUGUUCGAUUUUGGUCAAAAUUUAGCUUAUGUCAAUGUUAUGAAUAAUAUUUUUUUUAUAUAACCAACAUACAUAUUGAUAUGAAUAUAAAGUAUGAGUGUGAUGUUAGUAUAAGUGAUAUAUAUAUAAUUGAGUUAAAAUGAACUUUGGUAACUUAGUUAGGUAAAUGUUUGGUUAUUGGUAGACUUAUUUUCAGUUGUCAUUAGAGGUACUUAUGAGUAUAUUGGUUGUAUAUGGUAGUAUUACAUGUAUAAGACUUGAUUUUAGCUUGUGUUGAAUGUCUUGUUAUGGCUUAUUGAUUUGUAAAUUGUUGAGACCAGGUUGGUAUCAAUUUGGGUGAAAAAUGUGGCUUAGAAAAUAACCUAUUUUCGUCCACAUGAGCAGAGAUACGGGCGUGUGUCACAAUUGUGUGUGACACACGGCCAAGUGACACGGCCGUGUGCCGUGUGUCCCCUAUAUCAAGUCAGUAUGCACACAUGGCUUAGCACACGGGCGUGUGGCUUGGCUGUGUGGCCCAAGUUUAAGAGUUAUACAAGCACGAACACGGGCUAGUACACGACCAUGUGUCCCUAUUUCAAAUGCCCACACGAUUGUGUGUCCCCUGCAACUUUGAAAAUUUCAAUGUUUUCUGAAAAAUUCUUUGAGUACCCGAUUUAGUCCCGACUUGUUUUUAACACGUAAUUUGGGCCCCAAAGGCUCAUAUAAUGGAUAAUAUGUUUGAUUUUGAUUAAUUUUUGACAUGAAUGUUAUAUUAUAUAAAAUGUAUGUUUAUUUGAUCUGUAAUCUCUAGUAAUGCUCCGUAACCUUGCUCCGGCGAUAGAUACCGGUUAGAGGUGUUACAACUUAGAUUCCACAAGAAAAAUAUAAAAAUAUAAAAGUAGGGUGCAUUGGAUUUUGAUUCAAAUAAUUUAAAAUUCAAAUAAAAAAGUUGAUUGUAAAUGAAAUAUAAAUCUAUCUCAAGAUGUUUUAUUUUGCUUUGCAAAACCAAACAUUGACUAUGAGAUAUGGCAUUUUAAAAGACUUUUAAAUAUUGAAAUAGCAAAAGUUUGAAACUCUUUACCAUAUUCAUAACCCCAAAAGUUUCAAAAGUAAUAAUUGUGGUGACUUGAUAUUAAGUGGAAGAGUGGGCAAUGAUUGGUUUUCCUUUGAAGACCAACUUGUUAGUUUUGGAUCAAAAUAAAGAAUGUAAUCAAUGUUAAACUGUGAUUAGUGUGAUGACUUGCCUAAUCCACGCUUGAAUACAUAUAAAGAUUUAGUCAAGUAUUGAAGAAUGCAUUUUACUUCUUUGGAGCAUGCAUAAACUUAAGAAGUUUGGUUCAUUGGAAACAAUCAAAUUUUGUGAAGGAAAGAGAUUAGAGUUUCCCAAUAGUUUAUCAAUAUAUGGUGACAUCAAUAUGGUCAAAUGCUCUUGAAGUUUAUAAGGAUAAGAGGAACUAAUUUAAGUACAAACUCAUAUACUGUAUUGCAUCCCUCUAUCAUUGAUAACAUGCUGAAUGUAUUUGCUUUGCGUCAUUAGGUAUAAUCUUAUCGAAUGUGCAUUUAUAUUUAUAAAAAAGUUGGUAAGUAAAGCAAAACAAAUUCAAUUUGGAAUUGAAUAACUGGCUUGCGAUAUGGAGAAAGGUUCUUAACAGAUUUCUUUCAUCCUAAUACUCAUGCAAGGGAGGGAUUUGCACAGUUAAAAUCCAAAGAAUAUGACGACAUGAUCUUUAACAUAGAUCAAUCUCUUAAUAAACUUUGUUGGAAUUAUAGUCCCAGGUUGAUGGUCUUAAAAACUUUGCUCUCUUCUCAGCGGUACAAAAUAGACUGAAAGUUCUUUAUUAUUCUCAAAUGACAAAUGCAUUACUAUUAAAACCACACACUAAUAGUAAACAAAACACUAGAAAUCAGGCAUCCUUUUCCAUACGAGUGGUGGAAUGAUCAGAAGCAGGUAUUCACAAGUUCCUACUGAUCAUAUCUUUUCAUUUUUCCUAAAUCAAAGUACACCCGAUGGUCCCAAUAACUUCUUGAUUCCAGAUUUCUGCUCUGCAGUUAACCUUGUUGGGAACUUAAUGUUGAACUUGAUUCUGAGGUUCCCUCUUUUCGAUGGGUCUUUGGGAAUUGGCAUACCUUCCUUCGGGACUACCUCCUCAUAGUUUGGAUGGAUCACACUGUUGAUGGGGAUGUUCAAGCUCCUUCCAUCCAAUGUUGUAAGAUGAACGGUGUAGCCUGUUAAUGCUUCGGCCAGCGAUAUCUUUUGCGUGACAACCAGGUCAUUGCCAUCGCGUGUGAAUGUGCUGUGAGGUUUUUCAUCUAUUAUGAAAACAAGAUCUGCAGGGAUUGUGUUCGGUUGUUCGUUUCCUUUCUCAGGGAAGGUAAUCUUUGUUCCCUUUUUCCAACCAGGUUUGAUAUCAAUGGUCAGGAUUUCCUGCACUGGCAAUGUCUUCCUGCAACACAGACAAAUUUUUAAGACAACCUUGUUAGCAAGGGAACCAUCAGCAGCCAUGAAAAUAGUUGGCAUUAUCAGGCAUGUUACGAUCUUAUCUCGGAUAGGUAUGUUAUUUAGAAACAUGUACGAAAUAUGAUCAAGACAAACUCUUCAGCUCUCUUUUACUGCUUACUUAUAGACUAAAACAGAUCAAUUAGGAAGUUAACAAAUACGCUUCAAUAUAUCAUUGAAAACCAAUAAUUGAAUGAUUAAUAGUACUGCAAACAUAUUUCAAUAAAUAGAUACUUCUUGUUACUUCAGAAAGAUAUCAACCAAAUUCAAUGAACGUUCAGCUGGAAACUCGAAAACACAUACAAAAAGGAAGAUAAGAAGUCAAAUUAGUAAAAUGAGGCAUACCCGAUAGCAUCUGCAAUUUCUCUAGAAAUCUUCAUCUUCUUUGUGGUUCCUUUAUAUAAAUCUUCAAGGCUACAAGGCAACGUAUUUUCAAUAGGAGGAGGUUUACGAGGAUUCUGACUCAUUGGCCUUCCUUCACCAAACGAACUGAAUAUAUCAUCACCAAACAUGCCACCAAAUGACCUUGAGCUACCUCUCAUCCCACUGCCGCCCAUUCCCCCAAAGGGGCUAGAAUACCCAAAGAACUCGGCAAAGAUGUCAUUAGCAUUUCUGGGGUUGAAUCUGAACACAUUUGGACCGUCUCCGGUUUGGAAAAAUGUUGCUCCACCAGGUCCGCCAGCAUCUUGAGGUGGUACUUGGCCUUUUAGCCCUUCUUCACCAUACUGGUCAUAGAUAGCUCUCUUUUGUGGGUCACUCAAAACCUGCAAACAUGAAAGUUGGUCAUAUUUUCCUCUUAAAUUUUGACUUCCUAUAUAUGUAAAGAUCAAAUUUUCAAUUGAUGAGAUGGGCAAUCGCAUAGUUUGAAUUAAGGAGACCUAGGUGACAAGCAUGUGAUUUUGAUACAGAGUCUCAAUAAGCAAAGAGAAACCACCAAACUUGAUUGAUGAUCAUCCUAAUUAUUAAAUAAAAGCAACCCAAUUUUUCCUUUGAACUUUAAGAAUCCACAAAAUAAAUGAAUUUAUAAAAAACGAAAAAGGGAUAAGCUUACCUCAUAAGCUUCAGAGAUUUGCUUGAAUUUGGCCUCAGCUUCCUUUUUGUUAUUUGGGUUCUUAUCAGGGCGCCACUUCAUGGCAAGCUUCCUAUAAGCUUUCUUCAAAUCAUCAUCUUUUGCAUUCUUGUCAACUUGUAGAAUCUUGUAAUAAUCUACACCCAUCUUCUUCUUACUCAACCUCUGCUUUUAUCGCAGAGCUUCUUUAUUCGUUGCUGUAGCUUUGCCGCAGAAAAGAUUAUAAAAAAUGAAAAACUUGUGAGAACCUAGAAGAUAGAGUUGUGUUUGAAGGGGUUUAGUGUUUGAUUUAAGGGAAAAGAAGACGAUAUGUCUGGAAGGCAAAUGAAAAUGACGAGAAGGGUGUGGAAGUUUCCAGAUAAGCCCAAGGGGCUACACGAUUUCUCCCGAUUUUGUGUUUCUAAUUUCUAAAGCAAACAAAACUACCUCUCCCUCGCCUCAUUGAUUAGUUUUUACAGUUACAACCCCAAUAGUUGGACCUGUUCUUGGCCCUCGCCGCUCCCUCGGGUAGUAACUAUUCUUACACCCCGACAUUAAUCUUUCUAAUUUAAACAUGAUCUACUCAAAUUAAAUAUAAUUUCUAAAAUAAAAUUAUAAAAUAAUGUAAAUACUAAAUACAUAUGGUACACCAACUCAUGGUUAAUAAGAAAAUUUAAAAAAUAAAAUUUGAUCAAUGGAUAGAUUUUUUUUUUGUCAAUUAAGAAGAGAGUAAACCUUAAUAAUAACACAACUAGUACAACUUGAAUUUAAGUUACACUUAGGAUGAUGAACACCUUAACUAUCAAGCUAACACACAAAGUUCUUAAUUGAUAAAUUUUUAAAAUAAAAGCAUUUGUAAUCAUCAAUAAAUCAUAGUAACUUUUCUCUUUUUUCUUCAAGUCUUUUUUUUUUAUCCAAUGAUGGUGUCGACUUUCGAGUUAACUAUCGUCCACUUUUUUUUCCCUCACAUCAAUCCCUUUUCUUUUCAUUCACACUAUGUGUGUUUUCUCUUUUUAAUUUGCUGAUCUAUUUGUGGUAUAUUUGCUCUCUUCACAAGUUGUGUUGGACAAAUGACAAUAUUUAUUGUCAUUGAAAAUCCAUCGACUACUAACAAUUUUUCUUGAAAGGUGAGUGACUCUCCGUCAAUUUCAAAAUAAUAAAUGAUUUCACAAGUCGGUUUGAACCCAUGGUGUCUUGAAUUUUAUAUUUUUUUCGUUGUUUAAAUAGUUUUCACUUUUAGAAGCUUUUGUUUGCUCUUAUAGCACAUUUUUUCCUGUUGCUUAUGCAUAUAAUCUUACUUUUGGAAGUGAUUUUAAGGAUGGUUUUGUCAUUGUCCUUUUCUAUUUGGUGAAUGCUUGGGUAUUUUGUCGAUUUUUGUCCGUCGCUUUGGACCAUCCGGUUGAUUUCCUUAUUAUAUUAAGUGCUUAAAAUCACAAUCACUUCAAAUAUGUCGUAAAAGUAGUCAAUUGUCAAUGUGUCUAUUGAUGUUGAUGUUAAAGCUUUUGUUGUAUUGAUGGAGCUUGUCCUUAAUCAUCUAAUACCAAUGUUUAUUAUUUUUUCCUUAAUUGUAUAAUUCCAUUUAUUAAAUGAAUUAAUAAAAUUUCCUUAAAAAAAUAAACUCGAUGAUUUUUAAAUAUUUUUAUUAAAAAUUGAUUUUAUACUAAUUUUAGGGAAAACUACACAAAUAGUCACCUAACUAUAAAAAUUUUCAUUUUGGGCAUCCAAAAUAAAAAAGUUUACAAUUUAAGCACCCAUGCUAUAUAGUUCAGUAAUUUUGGUCACUCCCGUUAAAAUCACAAACGACAAGCUAACUUAAUUGUUAAAAAAUCGGUAUAAUAAUAAAUUUAGCCCUCAACUUUUACAUAUUAUAUCGAUUUAAUCAUAAUUUCAAAAAAAUUAACUCUCAAAAUUUACAAAUAUUCUCAAUUUGAUCCUAAUUCUAAAAAUUAAAAAAAAAAUAUAAAAUACAUAAGUAUUUUUUAAAAAUAUAUAAUAAUAAAUAUAUAGAAAUAGAAAAUUGAUUAUUGACAAAAAAUGAUAUAUAAAAAUUAAAAAUAUAUAAAAAUACAUAAAUAUUUUUCAAAAAAUAUAAUAAUAAAUUUAAAAUUUAUAUUAGCAUUAAUAUUAAAUAAAAAUAUUUAUAUUGAUAUUAAACAAAAUUAAAAACCCUCCCUCACCCCAUCAUUCUUCCCCACACCCUUUGUACUCCACUUCUCUCUUCAUUUUUUGUCCCUUUCCUUCGGAUCUCUUUCCAGCAGUUGAAAAACAAAUAAUUUUCAUGUUGGUUUUAUUUUUUAUUUUUUUUAUUUUCUUCUUCUUCUUCUUUUAAUCUUGAAAGGGUAAUCUUUAGUUGGAGUCAUUAGAUUCCUAUGUGUUCAACAAGUGCGAAAGGAAGGAAGGAAGAAAAUGAACUAGUGAUUGUAGAAUUCAACUAAAAGUGUUAUCUUGGGCGUUCAUUAAAUGUUUAUUGUUAAUAUUCUUGGAAUGAUGCUUCAUCUAAAGCCUGAAGCUUUGGAUGAAGACCAUCGUCUUCAAAGUCCUAUUGUCCUAAUAGUAAUACCAUUAAUGACAAGGAGAAUGAGAAUUGCAAUGGUGGUAAUAAUGAGGUUUUAUUCUACCAAUCAAUUGGUACGUCUUUAUUUAGUUUUUACUUCUUUAUUUAUGCUCAUGUAUUUUUUUUUUAGUUUUGUAAUGGUGAAUGCAAUAUGGUUGAUAGUUUUGCAGUGGAAGCUCUAUUAAUAGAUAUUUAUAAUGAAAAAGUAGUAAGGUUUGGAGCAAGUCAAUUUCACCUGGGGAUGAAUCUUGUAACUUUUGUUCUUAGUUGGAGGUAAUUUGCAAAAACUAAUUUUAUGUUCCUUAAUUUGCAGCAAAGAGAGAGAGAGGGGACGCUAGUAGAGCAAGGUUCAGGGGGAGAGGGGGAGGCGGAUUUUUAUUCUAUUUAAUAUUAAUAUAAAAUUUAAAUUUAUUAUUAUAUUUAAAAAAAUAUUUAUUUAUGUAUUACUUUUUCUUGUCAACAAUUUAAUUUUAUAUCUUUAUAUUUUUUAGAAAAAAUAUUUAUGUAUUUUUAUAAAAUUUAGAAUAAAAUUGAUAUCACUCGUAAAUUUUGAGAGUUAAUUUUUAAAAUUAUGACUAAAUUGAUAUAAUAUGUAAAAAUUGAAAGCUAAAUUUUUUAUUAUAUUAAUUUCGUUAACUGCCACGUCAACUUGCCGUUUGUGAUUUUAACAGAGUGACCAAAAUGACAAAACUAUAUAACACGGGUACUUAAGUUAUAACCUUUUUACUUUGAGUGCUUAAAAUAAAUUAUUGAUAAUUAAGUGACUAUAUGUAAUUUGCCCUUAUUUCUAAACACCAAAUUAAUCAUUUUUUUUAUCAUAGAAGAAGAAACACAUAAAUAAAAUAGUUACAAUUUUUGGUGUCAUAACACCAAUAAUAUCAGCACCAAGUUGAUCAGUAAGAUAACAAUAGAAAACACUUUGCAGUGUUUGUCUCCAAUCCAUCGAUUCUAGGCCAUCAGCAAGUUUAUUACCCUCCCUGUAAAUAUGUUGGAUAACCACAUCCCAUUCCUUCAAAUAGUCCCAAGCUUUUCGAAUGAAAUUGAUCUCCCCAUCUUUAGCAUUGUUGGUUAGUACGUUAAUAACAUCAAUGCUGUCCACUUCGAGAAUCAGUCGGUGUUGUCCACUCUUCCAAGCAAGCAUUAGUCUUCAACCAUACCCCACAUCUCUGCUUCCCGUAUUGAACAUGAGCCAAUGAGUUUAGAAAACCCAACAACCCAUUCUCUCUUCCAAUUCCGUAUAACACCCUCACAAGCAGACACACCAGUAAAGGACUUAUGAGCACCAUCAAUAUUCAACUUGUACCAUCCCAAAUCAGGUUUCCUCCAGUUAGCUGACUUCACAUUCCUCGAGCGACUGCUUAUGAUACUAUUAUCAGUAUACUCCAUCACACCAAUACAUUGUUGCUGCAGUCGCAAACUCCUUUCUGAUACCAAUUCAAGCUCUACAAAAUUACCAUAAAAAGUGAAUCUAGUCAUAUACUUCCAUAGGUUCCAACAUAAUACUCCAAAGAGAAUAUUCCAACUAGCACUAUCUCGAGCAAAGUAACUGAGAUUAGAAAGAUUCCGGUUCACCUAUUCAGGAAUCUGCAUAGUUAUGAAUUCAACAAGUUUCUUCUCCCAAACCAACCAUUUCCAAAUUACUGAAGCCACGAUAUAUCCACGAAGCACAUGGUCUAAAGUUUGAUAGAUGGGUCAACAACACGCUUCUUGUAUUGAUACCGAAGGUAAAGAGUCCAAAAAUUGCCCAUCAACUAAGGCCUAUUAGUUUGUGCACAGUUCUGCACAAGAUAAUUACAAAGGUGAUUGUGAAUUGAUUGAAAUUGUUUAUGUUGAAAUGGGUGUUACCAAACCAAGUGAGUUUUGUGCCGGACAGGAACAUUAUAGAUAAUAUUAUUAUUGCUCAGGAAAUUAUACACUCAAUGAUGAGUAAGUUUGGGAAGAGAGGAUGGUUAGUGAUAAAAGUUGACUUAGAAAAAGCCUAUGACGAGUUAGAGUGGAGAUUCAUUGAGGAUACUUUACUCAAUAUUAGGAUUCCGACCAAGUUGAGAACUGUCAUUAUGCAUUGUGCUAGCUUGGUCUCAACUUGGGUGGUAUGGAAUGGGAAGGUGACGGAUUCUUUUGUUCUGUCUCGAGGUUUUCGACAAGGUGAUUUGUUAUCCCCUUACCUUUUUGUUUUAUGUAUGGAAAGGCUAGCUUAAACUAUUUGUAAAUCAAUGGAUUUAGGUCUGUGGAAAUUAAUUUUUUUUACUAGAAAUAGCACGAGCAUCUGAUAUUUAUUGUUUGCAAAUGAUCUCAUUUUGUUUGUUAAGGCCUCAAUGGAACAAAUGAGUAUUAUUUAUCAAAUUAUCAAUGAUUUUUGUGCUUGCUCGGGCCAUAGAGUGAGUGUGCAAAAGACUGAAAUUUAUUUCUCAAAGAAUGUUGAAGAUGACCUCAAACAACAAUUGAGUGAUAUGGUUUUGCACGAGUGAAUGAUCUUGGAAAGUAUUUGGGUGUCCCAUUACUUCACCAAAAGGUGUUUAAAGGAAUGUAUCAAUAUAUUAUUCAAAAAUUAUAGUAGAAGUUAUCAGGGUGGAAAGCCAAGACUUUCUCUUUAGCUGGAUGCAUCACCUUGGUUAAACCAAUCUUGUCAGCUUUACCGAUGUACACCAUACAAUUAACACGGUUACUAAAGGGUAUUUGUAAGGAGUUGGAGAGGAUAAUACAUCAAUUCACUUGAGACAAUCUACCAAAUAAAAAAGGAAUUAAUUUAGUUAAGUGGGAGCAGGUUUGCAUGCCUACAUCGGGAAGAGGGCUUGGCAUAAAAUGUACCCAAAACAAAAUGAAGCUUUUCUUAUGAAAAUUGGGUUCUAGGUGAUGACACAUGGGGACAAGUUGUGGGUGUAAGUCCUGUGUAUGAAAUAUAGAUGGAACAAAAUUUUGCAACUUUUUAUCAAGCGAAAUAAUUGCUCAAGACUUUGGAAAGGAAUAGGCCAAGUACGGGAGAUGAUUCAUCAAAGAAUGGUUUGGAAUAUUGGAAAUGGUGAAAAUUUUGAUUUUUGAAGGGAUGCAUGGAUGGUUGACAUUAGGCCACUGAUUGAUUAAUUAAGUUGAUAAGAAGAAUAGUGGCAGAAUCAUACAUGGGUCAGUGGUUUCAAUGGUUACACCAAAUGGUGAUUGAAAUUGGAGUUUAUUGAAAGAUGUUUUACCAUACAAUAUUUUGCUUAAAUUAGCAAUAAUGCUUUCGUCGGACAAGGAGUGUAACACCCCCUACCUGUAUCUAUUGCCGGAAUAGGGUACGAGGCAUUACCGGAGUUUACUGAACAUUUUCAGAUAAUUCUGAGUCAUUUAUUAUUCAUAUUUUGAAAAUAAUUAUAACAUCUCUCUAUUGGGCCCUCGAAGCCCCAAACAUACAUUAGAAACCAACCGGAAUUAAAUCGGGAUCAUAGAAAAAGAUUUCGCAAAAUCUUAAAUUUUAUUUUCAUCUAAGUACUUACUAUUUCAAUGCUCCUUAUAAUUAAACAUGUUACCAUUCAAUCAAUAGCUUGGCACUUGUCUAAGCGUCAAACAACAUCAUUGUUAGUAUACUUGCACAUAUUUCAUCUAAAUUCAACAUUGAUAUACUUAUUUUCUCGACAUAUCGCACUUGAGUUUAAUAAUCGUCUCAACUUACAUAAUUUCCUUGUAUCAACAUAUCAAAGAUAAUCAUAUAUGUACAUGUCAUGAAACAUAUCAUGCUCUUACCGUUUCUUCAUAAGCAUAUAUCAUUCAUUUCAUUAUAUCAAUAUUUCAUGCUCCAUCAUUUCCAUAUAUUUUAUGUAUAUUUAUUCCGGUAAUAGUUCAUAUCAAACUUAACAUAAAUUAUAUUCCAUGUACUUAUACUUAUUUCGUUUAUCUAUCUUCAUAAUUAUUUCAUACAACUAUUUUGUACAUAUAUUUCCAUAUGACCAGUUCUUGUAAACAUUUCACACAACCAUUUCAUAUAACCAUUCGUCAUCUGAUACGUAUUACCUGAAUAUCAAUUGUUCAAUAGAUGCCAUAGCGUCUCCCAUCCACGGUCUUAUUUAUCUUUGACAUAAUGCCAUAGUGUCUUUCAACUAUGGUCUUACUCAUUUUCUGUCAUGUUGCCAUGGUAUCUUUCAACCAUGGUCUUAUUCUUUUCAUGUCACGUUGCCAUGGUAUCUUUCAACCAUGGUCUUAUUCAUUUCAUAUCACGUUGCCAUCGUAUCUUUCAACCAUGGUCUUACACAUUUCAUAUCAGGUUGCCAUGGUAUCUUUCAACCAUGGUCUUACACAUUUCAUAUCAGAGAGCACACUCCUGCGAACCUCAUCCUUAUAGUGGGAUUACCAGUCCAAGCUAAAUCCCCUGUAAUAUAAACUCAUAGAGUAUUGUCGGGAUUACCAGUCCAGCCUAAUUUCAGACCCUAAUUCGGAUUACCCGUCCGGGCUAAAUCCAUUUUACACGUAUUCUUCGGGAGGGCUAUAUCAGAAUAGGAUCACUCGUCCGGGCUAGAUCCUUUUUACUGUCAAUUCCUUUUCAGAGAUCCAUCGAAUUUUCCUUUCAUUCAACUGGGAUUUAUUUUCAAUUUAUAUCGAGUAUUAGCAAUAUUUCAUCAAUUAUCAUGAAUUGAACAUUCAAAUCAUAUUUUUAUCACAUAACCACAUUUUUCAAGUAUUUAAAAUACAAUUCAGGUUACAUAAACUUACCUCAUUACUUGUUUGUGUUUAUAAUUUCAUUAAUCCGAUAUCUUUUCUUUUCCACGAUCAAGUCUCAUAUUUGAGUUGUCCGGAUCUUUAUAAAUAAAUUUGAUCAUCAUUUUCAUUCAUUUCAUAUUCUAAUGCAUUUAAUUAAUGCUCUAGGAAAAAUUAUCAUUUUGCCCCUAAACUUUUAAUUAAUGACGAUUUCAUCCUUAAGGUCAGGAAAAUAAAAUUCUUGCAAUUUAAUCCUUAUUUCCAGCUACUAUUCUCAUACAUAUUGAUAACAAUCCAUGAAUUCUAUAAAAUAUCAAAAUUUACAAUAAUUUCAAAACUUUUCAAUUUAAUCCCUAAAACAUGUUUUCCCCUAUCUUGAAUUAAAUUAAUAAUUUCAUUCAAUUUUAUAAUUUAAAUAAUAAAAUUAAUCCAUUUCACGUAAUUUGAUCAUUUCUAAAAUUUUUACAAAAUUACCCAUAAAGUUUUACUUUUAUUCAAUUUAGUCCCUAAGCCUAAAAUAUGCAAAUUAGCCAUGCUAAAUGAAUAUUCAUAUAUGUUUUCCUCCUCCUCCACUCCAUUCCACAUCCUUAAUGUAUAUAACACACUUGUAAGUAACAUUAUCUAUAUUUUUUUAUUAUUUACUUUUAUGAAUAUUCAAGCUGUCCAUCUAUGUCAUAGUCACUAAAUUAUUCAUAUCUGGAGAUAUAGAACUCCAAAUUAAGAUCCAAUAAUUUUCCCUGAAACUAGACUAAUGUAUCUUAUUACCAUAAAAUUUUCAGAAUUUUUGGUUUAGCCAAUAAGUACACCUGUUCUGCUGUCUGAUAGUUCUGACCCUUCUUUACUAAAAAUUAAUUAUCUCCUCGUACAGAAUUCAAAUGAUGUUUUCGUUUGUUUCUAUUGAAAAUAGACUCAUUUAGGAUUCUAACCAUAUAAAUUUAAGCUCAUAAUUAUUUUUUUCCAAUUUUUUAUGAUUUUCCAAAUUCAAAACAGGGGAACCCGAAAUCAUUCUGACCUUAUCUCACAAAAUUUAUUAUAUCUCAUGAUUUACAAUUCCAUUUCUUACAUAAUUUCUUCUAUAAGAAACUAGACUUAAUAAGAUUUAAUUUCAUAUUUUAUUCAUCCUAUAAUUAGAUUUCUACAAUUUUUGAUGAUUUUUCAAAGUUAGACUACUGCUGUUGUCCAAAACUAUUUUAGUACAAGAUAUUAAUUACCAUGUUAUAACACCCUUAUUUUCUUUUUCUACACCAUUUCUCAUCACUUUCUCUUAUUUUAUCUUCACUAACAUAUCAAGAACAUAGGAUCUUAUGUAAGAAAACUCUACUAUAACAUUAUUUCCAUGCUUUGUCAAUAAUAACAAACUUAAAAACAUAUUGAAAUCUUGAUAUACUUACCUUGUUCUAUUGAUACUAAUCUUUAACUUGAUUUUCUCUUUCCUCCAGCUUCUAUUUCUUGAAUUCAACUUGAUAUUUUAACUCCCCAUGGUCUCCUUAACAUUUUUCUCUCUUGGUAGCUAUGGAAAUUCUUUUGAUUUUUGGGUGAAAAUGGUGAAUUUUUGGUAAAAGGACCAAAUUGUAAAAAAGUAAAAUUUUCUUUCUUUCUCUCUUUCUCUCACGUUAGUGCAUGAGAAAUAUGGAUGAGAAUUUCUUAUCUUUCUUUCUUUAUAUACUAAUAAAAUAAUAAUAAAAUAUAUUAUUAAAAUAUUAAUAAAAUAAUAUUUAUCUAAUUAAAAAAUUAUAAAAUAUCAAAAUGUCUCUAGCAUCAUUAUUACUUUCUAGAUUUCUCUCUCUUCAAAUUGACCAUUUUGCCCUUCAUUAUCUUUUAAAAUUCCAUCCUUGAGUCAUCAUUUAAUUUGGUAAAAUUGUAGUUUAGUCCCUCAUAGUUAUUCAUCUAUUCAAUUUGGUCCUAAUUCAUCCAUUUUCCUUAGUUUCUAGAUCAUUCCACCCUUAAAAUGUUUACACUAUUGGUCCUUCAAAUUUUUCAUAUUUACACUUUAACCCCUCAAAUUUUGAGUAUUUACUCUUGUGCAAUAAAACUUUUCUCACUUUUACAAUUUAGUCCUUUCUUGAAUUAAUAUAUUAUAAUAUACUUCCCAAUAUUGACAUAACUCAAAAUUUCUCUUUUUGUCACUUUAUUUCCUUAUUUUACUAUAUCACGGAUAAUAUUUUACUGUAAAAAUUUUCGGAAUAUUACAAGAAGGGCAAUGUGGAUUCUUUGGCUUGGAGAUAGGAUGCUAAUAGGAGAUUCACUGUGAAAUCGACCUACUUAGUGGCGUCAAAUAAUUUAAUGGAGGAGUGUAAGAAUGGUGGAAACCAGUAUAGCAUUUUAGAGGACCCUAAAGAAUUUGAAUUUUCCUAUGAUUAAUGUGCUUGGAUAAUUUGUUAAUAAAAAAUGAAAGGAAAAGAAGGCAUAUAUGACCAUCGAGGUGCGAAGUGUGCAGAAUCAAUUUAUUUUCUAAUAUAAUAUUAGAUAUAGAUGCUAUAUCUAUAAAAGAAAUUAUAUAUUUAAUUUUAUGUUCAUAUCAAAAAUAAAAAUGAUAAAAACAUAGGCCUAAACAUCAAUAUAUAAUAAAUUAUAAAACAAUUUACUACAUUUAUUAUUAGUAUUUAACAACAAUUAAGGUAAAAAGAAAUUCAUUAAUCUCUCAUAGUAAUAGCAUCGUUGAAUUCAGUGCGUCGUGAUUAUGGGCCAAAUCCAUCUAUCUUGGAUUGGAUUACCCCCCUCCCCCAACACACAUCACCAAAAUUUGUUGGAAAAAGAUAAAAUGAAAAGUGGGCAUGCAGUGCACGUGAUAUUUCCACACCUGCGACAGUCUGGCUGAAGAACGAGUUAAAAUGUUAAAUUUGCUAACGUGGCGUAUAUUUAAACUAGAUCUCACGGUUAUCAACUCACCUCGUUUUCGCUUCCUGCCAUUUUUACUACGUUUUCACGAAUCUCUAAUUUUAACUAAUUUUCCUCCAUCUUCUUCAAUGAUUAUGUAAAAGCCUGCAAAAUCUCAGUUGUCCAGUACAAUGGCUACCCUCUCCUUUUCUUCCCUCAAACCAAACACGUUAUUUUCUUCUUUUCUCUUCCCUUCUAAAAACAUAUCUUCCCGCCCAAUUAUCUAUACCCUUCCUCAUCGGAACACUCCUCCACUCACUUUCUCUGCUGCCAAACGCCCUCCCGCCGCAUCCGCAACCAAUUCAUCCUCUUCCGUUACCGUCGAAACCGUCUCUCCUGAAAAUGACGAUAACUCAACCGUUUUCGUCAUCCGUGCGCGUAACCGUACCGGUCUCCUCCAAGUUAUCACGCGCGUCUUCAAUAUCCUCGGUCUAAGCGUCGAGAAGGCCACCGUAGAUUUUGAAGAAGACUAUUUUGUCAUGACGUUCUUCGUAACUGAUUCCCGCGGCAACAAGAUCGAUGAUCAGAAGAGCUUGGAAAGUAUCAACAAGGCCUUGAUCGACGCAAUCGACGGUGACGAUGAUGCCGCCUUGUCUGUGGCUCCGUCAGAUAGAGGGGUCGUGGUUAGGAGCUCGGUUGGAUUUUGGGGAGAGGAAAGGCCAAGCUGAGAGGAUGCUUGGAUUGAUGGAUGUUUUCUUGAAGAACGACCCGAUUAGCUUACAAAAGGAUAUUUUACAUCACGUUGAGUACACGGUGGCUCGAUCGCGAUUUAGUUUCGAUGAUUUUGAAGCUUAUCAAGUAAGAUAAAGUUUCGUUGUUGGGUUGAGAAUGAAUUUUGACUUUCUUUUUAAAAAUUUGGCGGGAAUGUAUAGUAUAACUUAAGUGCGAUUGUUUAACAGGCUUUGGCGCACAGUGUAAGAGAUCGGUUGAUUGAACGUUGGCAUGAUACUCUGAUACAUUUCAAGAAGGAAGACCCAAAGCGAGUUUACUUUCUUUCGCUUGAGUUUCUUAUGGGUAUACUUCUUACCUUUAUGAGCCUUAUAAUGUUUACUCUAAUUAAAAUGAUGGAUAAGUUUAAGAGCUCUCGAGAAGUUUGGUUAUGCUUUCUAUUACUCUCCUAGCACCUAUAGUUUAUCAAAUCUAGAGGAUCAGACUUCGGUUUCUAUUACAAGUAGAACUAGUUUUUGAAUUCACAUGUUAUUCUGGAUUUUCUUCAGUGCUUUAAAUAUCAUUCAUGCUAAACAACUAUUUGCAAUUUAUAUUUUCAGGGCGUUCGUUGUCAAAUAUUGUCAUCAACCUUGGAAUUCGCGACCAAUUUGCAGAUGCUUUAAGCCAGCUUGGUUUUGAUUUUGAAGUUUUAGCUGAACAGGUUAACUUGACAUUUGAUUUUCUUCUGUACUCCUUUAUUGUCCUAAUCUUAGAUUAUUAUUACUAGCAUAUCACGAUCAGGAAAAGUAAUUGUUUGUUUGCGAGGAGAAUUGAAUACAUCAAGUAUAUUUAUUGGAGAUCAUGUUGUGUGGUAGUCGGAGAUUUGAAUCUAGGUGAAUCCAAUGGAUGGCCAUAUUCUUGGGAGCCUAGAGCCAAAAAACUGUAUGAUGUUAAGGUGUGCUCAUCCUUUCGAAACAGUCUCUCCUUGGAAUUAGAGCUCAAGGGAGAUCUCUGUUUGAACAAGUUAAAAACUGAAUUCUUAAUCAUGUUGGAAGAAAGCUUUUCUUAUAUAUAUACAUUGUACACUCAGAUAAUUAUUUACUUUCCUCUUUAUCUUAUUCAUUAUGAUAUUCUAAGGAAAUGCUUGCCUGGGUAAUGGAGGCCUUGCUCGUCUUUCAGCAUGUCAAAUGGAUUCUCUAGCAACUUUGGACUACCCUGCAGUGGGGUAUGCCUCUAUUGUAUAUUUUUCUUGUAAGAUUUGUGGAAGCAUUUCAAGUUAAAAGUAAUACAUAUAAGUCUUCCAUUAAGUAGGGGUACUGAAUCAUUAUCCAUACUGGCUUUGAAACCAAAAGGAUUAUGGGCCGUGAAGCUGACUUGCUUAUCUUCUAAUUAGUAUCAGCUUAUUUAUAAUCUAUGCUAGUUUUCCUUUUUCAAUAUCAUUUAGCGAAUUCUUGCAUCAAAAUCAUGUCAUUUAGUUCAUGCAUAACUUGUAUAUCCUCAAACGAGAAUUGGCUUUUAUGUUUAAUAAUCUAAUUCUAGGGGAUUGUUUCUGCAGCUAUGGAUUACGCUACCAGUAUGGGUUGUUCCGUCAAGUUAUAGUGGAUGGAUUUCAACAUGAACAGCCUGAUUAUUGGUUAAAUUUUGGAAACCUUUGGGACAUUGAGCGGAUUCACAUAACAUAUCCUGUAAAGGUUUGUAAGCACUUAGAUGUGUUCAAUUAUCUGUGGGAAUAUUGGAUGUUUGACUUUAUCUUUCUAUUCUUUUGCAAUUCUGUAUUGUUUACUAAACUUCUGUUCACUAUGAUUUUGGAUGGUAAAGUUCUAUGGGACAGUCACAGAUGAAUUUUUGAAUGGAGAGAAAUGUAAAGUUUGGGUUCCUGGAGAAAUGGUAAGGCUGUAAUUCUUUUCAUAAAUUGAAGCCUAGACAUUUGCAUAAAAUUCUUUACCCAUUAGUUAUACUCAUGGGCGAUGCAUGAUUUAAAUGAGUGCUAAAUUUAAGUGAAUGUGGUUGGCGUUUUUUUAGCUUAGCAAUAUCUUCAUGUUCAUAGGUUGAAGCUGUGGCAUAUGACAAUCCAAUACCUGGUUAUGGAACAAGGAAUACCAUUAAUCUUCGCCUUUGGGCUGCGAAACCAAGUGAUCAACAUGAUAUGGUAAUUUUGACAAAUCCAAUCAGUUAUGCAUGAGUUCUAUGUACACUUAGGUGGAUUAAACUAAAGUAUGAAGAUCUGGCACAUAAAACUAAUUCUUAUGAUCUAGAUUCGCUAGAAAUGCUAUAGUUGGACUGAGCUAACAAUGCUGAUUUGGUAGCUUAAAACAUAGUCAUAAAUGCAAUCAUGUGUUUUUUUUCUUUACGGAUCUCUUCUAUAUCCUACCCAGCAAGCUCUGCUUAGACAGCGAGGGAUUUGGAAAUCUUUUUGAAUAAUUUCUUUCAAUUGUUUUGGCUUAAUUGUUUUGAAACAUGCUUAAUCCAACUGAAGUGAUAUCAGUUAUUUUCUGUUUCAAUGUGCUCAUUUCUUUUAUCUUUCUCUUCUUUUUUUUUAUUUCACUAUUUGCAUUUCGGAGAAUUAUAUUUUGGCUAGAGCUUAUAUUAGUAAGGUUAGCAUCUAUCCUGUCUUGUAUAGUCUUUGAGGCAGGUAUUUGAUGUCGGUUCUAGAAAGAUUUCUUAAUUAGUAAGAAUUUUGUAUAUUUCAGAUAUUUUGUUACUUUUAUUUUUAGAGAUUGUAAUUUUCUGUAGGUGUUAUUUUGGAAAAUUCUUUAAGAUUUUGAUUUUUGGUUUUUUAUGAUAUUUAUUGCCAUACAUGCUUAUGGAUUCUUGUUAGUAUGCGACCUUGUUAUGUCUUAAAUUCUUGGGUUUGGAGCAUGGCAAUGCAGGAGUCUUUUAACACUGGGGAUUAUGUUGAUGCUGUAGUCAAUAGACAGAGGGCUGAAAGUAUUAGUAGCAUACUAUACCCCGACGAUCGUUCUUAUCAGGUGUGAUUGUUACAUCAAGAUUAUAGUCUGCCUCAUCAAUUUUUUCAUGCUUCAUCUUCUAAAGUUUUUACUGCAAUUGUUUGAUUUAUGGGAAAUUAAAGGUACUUAGUCGGAGAUUAUUAAUGUUGCAUUCACUGAAAACUUGGUUGAAAUGUUUGCUAGGGGUUGAACAAAUAUGUUUCUUUGUCUUUCUUUAGAUCUACAUUCAUAUUUCUUUUUGGUGGUUUCUUUCAGGGCAAAGAAUUGCGGUUGAAACAGCAGUAUUUCUUUGUAUCCGCAUCAGUACAAGACAUCUUCAGAAGAUUCAAAGACACUCAUAAAAAAUUUGACGAGUUUCCAGAGAAGGUUCUUAGCUGCAUGUUUCAUGUGUCUAUUAGUGCAUAAGCAUAUGUAGAGACCCCUCGAAUGGGAUUAGUUUGUACUGAUCUGAUCAUGUAGUGAGGUGACAUGGCUUGGUUCUACCUCCUGAAUCUUGUGUAACAUAGCUGUUCUCAAGGUUCUCUCAGGUUCUCAAUGUCACAUCCUUAACAAUUGAUUUGCUUUCAGAUGAUGGCAGUAGUGAGAGUUGAGUGAGGAAUCUUUCUCUUUACUGAGAAGAUUUUCGUUCCACUUUUAUUAUCAUCCCUAGGUUGAGUGCUGACUGCUGCUUGACUCGUGUUCUGUCAACUCCAAUUGCAUUUUAUAUAGGUUGCACUGCAGCUGAAUGACACUCAUCCAUCUCUUGCAAUAGCUGAGGUGAUGAGAGUGCUUCUGGAUGAAGAGCAUUUAAGCUGGCAUAGAGCAUGGGACAUCAUAUGCAAAAUAUUUUCGUUCACAACUCAUACUGUGUCACCUGAAGGACUGGAGAAAAUUCCUGUGGAUCUACUGGGCAACCUUCUCCCUCGACAUUUGCAGGUGUGUUUUGUUUGAAUUUUGCAAUGUACUUUCUGCUUUGAUAAAGUUUACCCGUUUCUUUGAAUUACUUUAUGUGAUUGAAAGCCUAAGUAAUUCUACUGGACAAGCUUCAUCUUACAAUAUUCUUUCAUUUAUAUCUGAUGUCAUAUGGUUUAAGCUUCAUCUUAAUAAUUUUCUUAACUACAGCAUCGUGCCUCCAAGGUACAGAAGCAUGCAUGUGGUUAAUUAUUAUUUUCCACGUAACUCUUUCCUGUAUUACCACACUCCUUUAGAUUGUAAUUUAUUAGUUUGAUUGGUUGUCAACUUGUUUCCUAAUAUUUUAGAAAAUUGCUCUUUUCAGAUUAUAUAUGACAUAAACUUCAACUUUGUGGAAGAGUUAAAGAAGAUGAUUGGUUUAGAUUAUGAUCGGCUGACCAGGAUGUCAAUUGUUGAGGAAGGUGCUGUGAAGGUAUAUAUCUCAAAUUUUAUGGGUUUCUAAAAUUUAUGUUGUGUUGAUGGAUUGCUAGAAUGUUAUGAAAAUUGAAGUUCAUAACCAUCCCUUUUGUCAGAAUAUUCGAAUGGCAAAUCUAUCAGUUAUUUGUUCUCAUACCGUGAAUGGUGUGUCCAGAUUACAUUCAGAGUUGUUGAGAACAAAAUUAUUCAAGGUAAAACUUAUAUUUGUUUUUUCCUGCUUAAACGUUGCCUUUCCUUGUAACAAGUUUGAAAUAGAACCCAGCUACGAUGAAUGUCUUUAAUUAGUUUAUCUUAAUUGUUGUCCAUUAAUGCUUUUCAGGACUUUUAUGACCUAUGGCCGCACAAGUUUCAAUACAAGACUAAUGGGGUGACACAGGUUUAAAAUAAGUUACAGUUUUUUCAGUACAUUAACUUACUGAUAGGUUAAGUUGUUUGCUACCUGUAAAUAAAUUUUAGGCUUGUUACUGUGAUGCUGUGAUGCAUCUUGCCCUGAUAACUAAAAGUACGCGAAUAAUUUAAAUUCACCCGCUGUGUAGUUAUUUUGAUCUCUUAAUAUUUGGUUUCUCAGCGUCGCUGGAUUGUUGUUAGCAAUCCUAGUUUAUGCGCUCUUAUCUCAAAAUGGCUUGGAACAGAAGCUUGGAUCCGUGAUAUUGACCUUUUAAUAGGCUUGAGAGAUUAUGCAACUAAUGCUGAAUUGCAUCAAGAAUGGAAGAUGGUACUUUCAUAGUUGGCAUGCUUCACCUUUGAAACAAAACAUAUCAUUGGCUAACUCAUUCAUUUAUUGUUAACUAUUAUCUCAUAGGUUAAGAAGGUCAACAAAAUAAGGCUUGCCGAGUACAUUGAAGUGAUGAGUGGUUUGAAGGUUUUGAAGAAAGCUAUAGUUUUUGCACCUACAUUUCUUUUUCCAUUUUUAAGGAGCUCUGAAAUGAUGUAAUGUUGGUGCAUUAUUUGUAACGGGCAGGUCAGCUUGGAUGCAAUGUUUGAUGUGCAGACAAAGCGAAUACAUGAAUAUAAGCGGCAGUUGCUUAAUAUACUUGGCAUUAUCCAUAGAUAUGAUUGCAUCAAGGUUAACACCAUCUUUGGCUGAAAGAGCCAUGAAAACUUGUGGAAUUUAUCAAAUGCUUCUUUUUAUAUGUGCCUUUUUGAAUUGUCCUUGUAGCAAACUAACAACAUAGGUUUAAGUUAUUACCAUCCUGUUGCUGGAUGUUUGCAAGACCAACAAUUCCUUACUCAUUGUAAUAUGAGUUGAUUAACCAUUUCCUUAACCAUCAUCUUUUUGGCUUUGCAUAAAGAUGUUUAAGUAUUAAAAAUUGUGCAUAUUUUCGAACUUUGUAAAAUAAGUUAAAAGAAUGUGUAACUCAGAGGUAUCUUUGCUCAUGCUAUUCUCAUUUGGUGCAGAAUAUGGACAAGAAUGAUAGGAAAAAAGUUGUACCACGGGUCUGCAUAAUUGGAGGAAAAGCUGCUCCAGGAUAUGAAAUUGCAAAGAAGGUUAUAAAACUCUGUCAUGCUGUGGCUGAAAAGAUCAACAAUGAUAAUGAUAUUGGAGAUCUUUUAAAGUUGGUAAGCUAGUAUUUAUUUUAUCUAGAAGUUCAAUGGAACUCUGAAGCGUGUAUUGUUUACUAAGAAGGGUGAGUAAUUUACCCUUAAAACAGAUAUAAUCAGCAACCAUGAUGAUGAAUUAAAGCUGCAAGGACCUUUAUAUUUGUCUUCUAAUAACAUAUCUGUCUUUCUAAGUCAUUAAGUACUAUUGCAGGUCUUUAUCCCUGAUUACAACGUUUCUGUUGCUGAGAUGGUAAUACCAGGGGCUGACCUUUCUCAACAUCUAAGGUAGUAUGCAUAAGUUUUGCACAUUAGAUGAUAUUAUUAAUUUCGUUAGCAGUUACAUUAUGUUUUGUAGUGAUUGCUGAUUGUGAUUUUUCUUUGUGUUUUUAUGUGGUCAACUAUUGGCUUCACUUAUAUAGAUAGAUCUAUUUGUCACUCUAAAGUUGUAUACCUCCAUUUUACCAUUUAUUUGGGUCGAAAUAUUUUGGAAUCUUUUAGUAUUAAUUGUCAUUAAGCUUACGUAUGAGCAGUUCAGAAUCACUAGGUUGAUGGAAUAAUAUAAUAUAAUAUCCAAGUGAUUAGUUGGGGCAGAAUUAGUCUCUCCACCUUCUGAGCCCCUUUUUCCAGAAUUAAAAAAAAAAAAAAUCCUCCUUCCACUCAACUUGUCUACUUCUGAUGUAUACUAUUUUUAUUUUCUGGUCCAGCACUGCAGGACAUGAGGCAUCAGGAACUGGCAGCAUGAAAUUCUUGAUGAACGGAUGUUUACUUUUAGCCACAGCAGACGGUUCUACAAUUGAAAUGGUUGAAGAAAUAGGUCAGGAUAACGUGGUAAGUGCUAAAUCAACAGUCAUACAAAUGAAUCAAGGUAAAAGUACCAUAAAGUCCUCUAUAUUAGGAGUCAGAUUGCAUUUUACCUCCUCUACUCAAGAAAUAAGCAAAUUAGUCACUAUACAUUAGAUCAAAGAGCAAACUGGUCCUUCUAUAAAAAAUUUCAUCCAUUUCUGCUUUUAAAAGUUGGUCUCUUUACGUUAACAUGAGGUACACGAGGCACGUCAUAUGUCACUGUCUAGUUAUUUCGUCAAUCAUGCCAGUUUUUAAUAAUACAAAAGAAUAAAAUUUUUAAUAGAAAGUACCAAUUUACUGUUUAAUCUAAUGUACAGGGGCUGGUAGAGCCUCCAUGGUAUUUUUAUAAUGAAUUAACAAUAUUAGUAGGAGUAGAUUUCUGAUAACAUUUCUUUCAGUUCCUGUUUGGAGCAAAAGCGCAUGAAGUUGUUGCGUUGCGCAAGAAAGGACCCACUCUUAAAGUUCCUCUUCAGUUUUCGCGUGUUGUAAGGUAUUAUACCCCUUCAUUCUACGUAAUGUAUAGCUUUAUCAGUACGUUUAUGUAUCCUUGCUUUUCUUAUACAGAGGUUGAGUUGAUUUAGAUAUUCUUGGUUUAAAUUUCAAGUGAUUUGAGUGGCAUUGUGUAACUAUUAUAUGUAGGAUGAUCCGAGACGGUCAUUUCGGGUUUGAAGACUAUUUCAAAUCUUUGUGCGACAAGAUAGAGGGCACGAGUGACUAUUUUCUUCUUGGUGCCGAUUUUAUGAGCUAUCUAGAGGCCCAGGUAAAUAGUUGGUUUUCCAUCAGUUAGAAAUAAGAAUACCUUGUAAAAGGGAAUUGCAUUUUAAUUGUGGACUGUGUUGAGAUGAACAGGCAGCGGCUGAUAAAGCGUUCGUUGAUGAAGAGAGAUGGACAAAAAUGAGUAUACUUGGUGCAGCUGGCUCUGGGAGAUUUAGCAGUGAUAGGACAAUCCAAGAGUAUGCUGAAAACACUUGGGACAUUCAACCUUGCAGAUGUCCCUUUUGAUUUGGAAAGUGAGAGCUACUCGAAAUAGAAUGAAGCUCUCGCAAUGUCAUGUGCGGGGCUUUUUUAUUUAAUAAUAAAAUAAAACGAAUUGAAUCGAAUAAAAUUACAAUGAAUAAUAACAAUGUUUCUAAAAUUAAUAAUAGAAAAUAAUCAAAGCAGAAACAAAAUUAAUAAUAGAAAAUAAUCAAAGCAUUCAAAAAUAUUUGAGUUGGAGCUUGAGAUAAAUAUUGUUGUUGAUAGGACGUUAUAAAUGUUUAUUUAAAAAAAUUCAGACGGAAACAUAUUGCAAACUUUUUUGCCCAUUUCAAACAAUUUUGAUUUUGGACGAAUUAUAAUAAUAUCUUCUCUUUUCCUUUACCAAAAAGAUAUAUCUUGUCUUUUUCGUAAAUAGAAAUAACUUUAUUCAACUGAUUUUUGUUUGGUUGUUCAUACUUCAUGAAAUAACAAUUUCCUCCUGGAUUCUACAAGCUUCGAUUACCCGCCACUAUUUCUGUUUACUUCUUCCGAGAAGAAAAAGGGAGAAAAGAUAAAAAUAAAAAUAAAAAGGGUUGUUUAGAAGAGGCAGUAAUGGCGGUUAAUAUGAUUCUCCUUCCCUCCAUUUUCAGUUUUUUCUUCUUCGUCUUCUUCUUCUUCUUCUUGUCACUCGCAUCUCAAGAUGAACAAAGUAACAACCACAAUCUCUUGAUCCUUGAAUUGCGCGACGCCAAGCUCAAGAUCUCUCGUUUGGGUAAAAUUUCUUUUUUAUUUCUUUACUGAUAAAUAUAUACCUUACUUAGAGUUUCCAAACAAACACUGAUCUUAACCUCGAUUCCUUGAUUGUUGUAAAAUAUGGAUGCAGAAUCUGUUCUUGAAGAAAGAAUUCAAGACCUUAAUGCUAAAACCCUUUCUCUUAAGGAACACCCGAAAUCCCUCGAGGACAUGGCAAACAAGAGCACUUAUCUGCAGUCUGCUCUAUCUGAUCUUAAGGUUCAAUUCUUUCCUAAGAAGCUUUGCUUUUGUUUUUAGCUUUGUUUUCAUUUGUAUGUUACUCGGGUUUAUUUGGAUUGAAUGCCUUCUCCCUAUUGUUGUCUCAAAAUGAAAAAAAAGGUGGGGGGUGCUUUUGAAAGCAGAAAAUUGAAUAUUGGUAGGGUUUAUUCACUUAGUAAUCUUGUUCCAAAAUUACAUAGCAUAUUGACAUGUAAUUUUGCAAUUUCUAAAUGUAGAUAUCAAAUUGACAUGUUAUUUUGCAAUUUCUAAAUUGUAGGAUCAUUCGUUUCUUGCUGAUGAAAAGCUUAACGCUCAAGAAGAGGAGGUUCGUUUUAAAUGCUUCUAUAAAUAUAAUCGCUCUUUCAAUUUUUUUUUCGUCCUAUUUGAUUCCUUGUCAUGUUUGUAAGGGUGAGUGGCAAGAAAUAUUUGCUUUUGUGCAAUUCAACUGACUUUAGUACCAGGCUUCAUGAUCCUAGGUACACGGCCUUUGGGCUGUUUCGAGAAAGAGCAAUUUCGAUCUUUAUGUUUUAGAGUUGAAGGUACAGGACGCUGAGGAUAGACCGGAAGCUGUUACAUAGUUGGAAAGGUUAGCAUUUACAUUCGUUAAUUUUGUUUCUGUGUAGAGACUCUGCUUGUAAAUGAUGAGAUCUUCGUCUUGUUUUUUUUUUUUUUUUUUUUUGGGGGGGGGGGGUACAAUUAUAAUAUGAGGUGAACCCUAAACCCUGGGGUGUCAACAAGAGAGCAUCAAUCACUGCUCCAAGGGGAUGUUGGUGAGGGGUUUUUCUUGUUUGUCAUACACCAUGACCAUCUAAUGCUGAAUGACUAAGUAUUUCUUCAUAUUAUAACGUUAUAUAAUCUAUAAUAAACUUUAAUGCCUCGUUUAGUUAUCUAGUGUAUUAACACAAGGAAAAGCUUACUACAUAAGUAUUAAAAUAGUUUGUCAUAACAUAUAGUGUAUAUUUAAACUUGAAAUUAGAAAGAUAAGUAGAACUCUAGUAAAAAAUAGGAACUCUAGUUAGUUUGUAACUCAUGUACUAAGACAUGAAGAAAUAAUAUUCCUACCGAACGUAGCAUAAGAGUUUCAUCAAUAACUGCAAGAAUGCUUUAAGCACCUAUUUGCUGCUGUUCCAAUUAUUGAAGUUUGUGUUGCCUCAUUUCUAGAUUUAAAUAUCCUUGUUGGGUUGGUUAUCAGGUAUUAUGGUUUAGGUACCAGUCACUGGCUCAACGCUAAGCUGUAUUUCUUUAAAUGGAAGAGAAUUAUUAUAUCCUCAUAUUCUUUCUAAGUUGUUAAUGAAAAUGACCAUAUUUUAUCAGAACUCUUUCUUGGUUAUUUGAACUUUCUUUUGAUUGUUGAUGUGUAAAAGCCUUGAAAACUUGUUUAUUGCCUUUUGAUUUUAUUAUCUCUUGAUAUAACUAAUAUUGAAAUAACUUGUAUUUUACUCACUCAAAGUUUCAUUCCCUUGCAUUUUAGAUGGCAGAAGUUGUUACAGAACAAUGGGUUCAAAUUCAACAUCUUGAGCAGUUACUUCAAAUUGCUAAAGUAUGGUCUUAGGCCCUAAUGAUAUCAGUUAUUUGUUAAACUCGGGGAAAUUUGAAAGAAAAUGACGAUAAAGGUUUUUCUCAUUAUAAUUAUCCUUUAUUUGCAUCAUUUCUUUGUGUUACAGAUGAGGGCAUUGCAAGCUCAAAAGCAAAGGAAUAUGAGAUGCACAUUCUUGAAGGUAAGAUAAUAAGUUGACAGUCUUUCAGACCUCUUCUUUUCCUCAGUCUAUGUCCCUUUAAAUUACUGGAAAUUUUAUCUUUGUAUAUCAAAGCAUCAGCAACAGUUAUAACUUUUAUAGUUCCUUUUAGUUAAGGCAAAAAUACUUUGUCAUAUGCUCGUUUUUCAUGUUAGUCAUAAGAUAAUCUAAUCUUGUAUGUGAAUAGUUCAUAGAUGGCAUUUCUGGAAGACAUCUACCGAAGCUGUUCAAGGCCUUGGAUGCUUAUUCAUUGGGAAAAGGACCUAUCAUAAGAUACUAUGUGUCUCAAGCUCUGCAACAAUUGAAAAGAUUUUACUCAGCUAUUAGAAGGUUUCACCCUGAGGUAUGUUUGAUACUGCAUGACUUUCUAGAUUCUUGUCUGAAAAAUAGUGGUGUCACUCUUGAAGGUCUUCACAUGUCAAAACUUACUUGACAUUACCUUUGUGAAAGUUUCCAUAAAAAAAAGUGGUCACGAAACAUUUGAAUUUCAGUAUUGUGCUUGCCUCUAUCAACACCUCUUCCACUUUCCUUAGCAAUUUGACCCAGAAGACUGUAAGAUAUAAUGGCUUCAAGAUUGCAGAAUCUCUUUCUUUUACUAAGUUCUGAAACUUAUUAUGGAAACUUUUGGUCUUUUCCAACCUAAAAAAUGGAAAAUCGGUGGGUUGAUCGGUCAUGUAAAUAAGACUGAGUAUUCGUGGAAUUAUAGUUCUAUCAGCCAAGAAGAGUAUAUUAUGAACCUUAAACUAUGUACCUACAUAGACUAUGUACCUUAAUUGGCCCUUUAUUGUUGCCUUGAAUGAUAUUAACCAUACUCUAACUUUUAUGACCAAGGCACUGAAAUUGCUUGUAAGAGAAGGAUAAUAAUUGUCUUGCACUUUCAACUUGAAAUUCUCUGCGUACAAUCAUCUCUGUUGGAUGUAUGCAGACAUUAAUUCUGCAAUCUUGUGCUUUACUUCAGAAUAUUAUUUAGUAACAAUUCAAUUUUCCUCCAAUGCACAGAAUUUGGCCUGCUUUACAAUUGGAGUUAAAUUUCUUCCAUCUGUCUCCUUUGUGCUCAUCAGAGGUUCCAGUUUACAAGUUAAUAUGUAUUAGUUUUAGAAAAUAUUGACCAAGUACAAAGAAGUAUAUCCCUUCCCUAGGAACCUCUGGCUUUGCAAGAAAUAAAUGUUUUCUGUUUGUUUGCAGUUGCAAGCUUUCAUCAAAGAGGAGAUGCAAAGAAAUGAACUUACUGCUGCUUUUGUCAAUGAUGAACUGGUAUUCUUUCUGGUAUGUUCUUGAGUACCAGCUGCCAUCUUCUGUACAUGAAGAUUUACUUGAAUUGCUGGUAUAAUUCUUUUUAUGGUAUUUCAGGCUUCUGCUUUCAUUACCUUCCCUGUACUGGGUGCUUGGAUGCUGCUUUUAACAUAGUUCAGCUAGGUGAAGAAAUUUUCUUUUAGGGGGUAGUGUCUUACCCUGAAAUAGUAGGUGACAUCCAAGCUGUUGUACUUUGUUUUCUCUGAUCUCUUUUACAGAUUGGUUUUUGAUAUUAAAAGGUGAAAGAAGAGUUAGACACAUGUACAGCGUACAGCGCCUGGUCAUUUUGUUGCCAAUGAGUCAAUUUUACAUGGAAGUAUUCCAGGGUCCAGAUCAAUACAGUAUGAUAUUCAUUGACCCAAAUGUUGAUUUUUGAGGCUUAUGAUAUUUGCAUAUAUUUGUAGCGUAAUCAAAAUUGGAGUCGAUCAUUGAAUUGAUUGUGUACAAAUAUACGUAGACAUUAACACAUUGGGAGCGUUUCACGUCCGUGAUAAUUUUAAUCAUUUUUCUUUAAAAAAAAUGUGGGGAUUUGAAUUUUAAUUUUUUUUCUUAAAAAGCUGGUUCCGGUAACGCCGUUGAUGAAACUAAAGAAGAGCCGUGGCAUCCAUGAGUGAAGAAUAACUAUUAAACAAAAACAAAUGAGGAAAGUGGUGAGGAGGAAUCGCAGAUUUUUGUUAAAAGAAAAAGGAAAACGUGAAUUCAUUGAUGAUUCAUCAUCUCUCUGUAGUCAGUCAUCAUGAAAUCAACGUAAAGAAAGGCAAAUGGCAGGCGAUAAGGCAAUUCCUUGAUGAAGGUAUUUCAAGCCUUGCAAAAAAACAAAAACCCUUCCUUUGUUUCUUUUUCUUUUUUUUUGUCACCUUCCGAAGUCACAAGGCUAAUCCAUAGUUGAGACUAAAAAAAGAAAAAAUGGAAGAGUCGACAUGGGAGCAAAAGCUCCAGGCUCUAACCCACAUCCUAACAAGCCCCACAACCUCACCGCCUCUCCACUCUCAACUCUUCAUCUCCACACAAAUCCCAUGUUUCCUCAACUGGGAUUUCCCUCCAAUUCUCUGCAAUAAACCCAACUCCCAUACCUUCCCAUCCCUCCACCUGAAAUGGGGAAUCUCUCUUUUCCUCAAAAGGGUCUCAAGAUUGGGUGUCCACGAAACUUCCUGGAGGUCCAAGUGCCCGUACUAUCAGCCCCCACCACUGAUUCUGGCCAAGGGAGUGGAUGAAGCACAAUGGGUCGAUACGCAAAAGCGAGAGUAUGUUAGGAAGAGGCUGAGAAGGAAACGCCUAGAAAGCCAUGUCCACCCUUUAAUUCCGAUUUUGAUUCCCGAUUUAUUAUUGUUCUCCCUGCUCUGGUUCAAUCCAUUUCCCCUUAAUGAUUCCUGACAAUUUUCCUUGUCUCAGAAUUGCGUAAUAAUAAGUACUUAACUCUUAUGUCUUAUCAGUUCUCUUGUCAACCUUGGAUCAUUUUAUUUGCUUUGGUCGAUUUCGGAUUUCUUUCUCGGUAGCACUGUUGUUUGCCUUAACAAAAUAUCUACUCUCAGAAAUUUUUCUUUCUUUUAUAGAAGAAGAAGAUGAUGAUGAUGAAAAGGGGCUUAAAUUGAGGCCCCAAGUAAAUUAAUUAGAAGCUCCAACGACAUCAUAAAGCAAAACCAGUAAUAAAGAGUUCUGAUUCACUUUGCUUAAUAUAGAAUUUACCUUUGCCAGAUAAGCCCGCCUGUAAUUUUGGUUAACGUCUAAACAUGCAUUUAUUUAUUUAUUUACAACUUACAUCAUCAAUUUUCUCCCCAUGUAUAACCGACCAAACUCCAACUGCACUACCUGAAACUAUUUAUUCGGUUUAGUUAAAUCUGGCCUCCACUUUACCACAACAUAGUGGGGCGGGCCAUCGCCUCCACUUUAUUCAAUACUUUCAGCUUCUAGAAUUAAAAACAAUACAUCAUGGUUUCUUUAUUAUGUUACUUUAAUUUUUUCCCCUUUUCGUAUAGUCUUGUUUUAUAUUAGCAAUGUUCAUAAAAGGUUGAAGUUUUGGAUUUUAAAUGUUUGAGUUUAAGUUUUACCAUCUAUAAUUGCAAUACGGGUCUCUGUCACUUAGUGUCUAUGUUGUGUGUUUUACCUAAUUGUUUUUUUUAGAUUUUAUCAUGUUUUUGUUCAAUUCUUUAUCUAUUAUGAAUUGUAUCAGUUGAAUUUUAAGUUAUAAUUUAUUGAACAUAUAUUUUUUUUUGUCUUCUAAUUGUACAGUUUUAUACCAGUGAAUUUUUUUUAAAAAAAAUCAUGUGAUUAUAGAAUAUAUGACAUAUAUUUAUGAAAUUUUUAGAAAAAAAAAAAAGAAAUGUUAAGUAUAUAUCAUUUUCAGUCACAUUAGAAUCCUGAUAAUACAUUAUUUCUACGGCUUCUACUUCACUAAACUGAUGAUCACAUUGGAUACUACCUUUUCUUUUCUUUUUAACUUAAUAGUUUUAAUGCUUUUCGAGUUUGGCAAACAUUUUUUUCAAAAAUUGGGUAGGAUUCGAUGGCCAGAUUGAUACAAUCUUUGUACGGCCGAAACGCUUCCCCACCGUUAAUCAAGCAACUAAACUUCACUUAAUCCAAGGAAAAGAAGAAAAGCAAAAAGUAAAAGCCAAAAGAAAAAUUAUUCAAUUGAUUGGUCAAACACUAACGUUGACAAUAAAGCAUUUUUCUUUUAACUCUCUACCAUUGAUUUUUUAUUCCAACCCAUCCUUACAGCUUUUUGUUAUUGUUGUUUUCUAAAACAGAACCUCAUAAUAUCAGACAUAUUGGGACUCCGAAAGUUCAACCUUCAGCGCGAAAAAAUCCUUCUUGUUUCCAUUAUGUUCAUUUUGUUAUAGAUAGAGGCAUCGGUGCUUGAAUUUUGAAUGCAUAAGCACGAACCAUAAAGUUCAAUCAAGAUAUGAGGAGAAUUUUCUUUUUCUUUUUCUUUUAUCUUUGCUUUUCUGUUUUUCCUUUGUUGAUGGCGCCAAACGUAGUCUUAAAGUAUAUUAGAUACAUCUGGUGAUCAACAUUCAAUUACAAUAAAGAGUAUAGAUAGAUACAUCAAUACUAUCCAGCCCUCUUUCAUGAUGAUGUUGCAAGUUUUGCACUCCACCCCCAUAUUAUUAUGAAGAGGAGAAAUUCCUGUUACAACAUUAAUUGAGCUUUAUUUUCUAAGAAAUGACUUCUAACAUUAAUAAAUUUGAAUCAAUUUAUAGCUAUUUCUCGUACUCUUUCGUAGUAUAGCUUUCUUUUUAAGCUAAAACAGGAGAUGAUUAUAAGACGUGAAGUUGUCUUAAGAUUAACAAGGCAGUUAGAUGCAUUUAAAUUGGUAUUUAAGGAUAUGUCUGUAUAUAACUAGAACUAAUUAAGAUUACAAUACACUGCAAAAUGAUUCCACCUUUUUUUUUUUUUUUUGGUUCUCUCUUUUAUAUGAUCAAAUACAAUGUUGAUAUGAACAAGGUUUUGCAGUUGUAGAAAAUCGUGGAGGACUUUUUUUUAAAAAAAAGAAAGAUAAAAUUCAUAAAAAAAUGUGAAGUUAAGCAUAUUUAGUGAUGGGUGGGGUAUGGGGUGGUUUGCUAACAUGGAAUGCGCAUGGCAGAUUGGCACUUUAAAGAAGGGAUGGGGCCGAGGGGGCGGGAGUUGUUAAAUCCUCGGCGUAGAAAAAGGUCAGUAAGCGUGUCCCUGGCAUUAGACAAGGAGAGGGGGUAGCGCAUGCACAGCCCAACUAUAUCUCUUUAUUUUAUGUCCCACUCCACUCCCCCUCAUCUCUGCCGCAACAUUAAAUACCUUAUGCAUCCUUACUAUUCAUAAUGGUUUUUUGUUGGGUUGAUGUUACAAAAUUAAAUUUUUUAUUAUAGAUGUAUUAAUAUUUUUAAAAAUAUAUAAGAUUUUUUUUAAGUAGGAGUUUAAUCUUUGGUGGUGAUGUUGAUUUUAGAUAUAUUCCCCACCCGCAAGUAGAUAUCAUACAUUCUAAUAUAAUUAAAAAAAAAGUAUAACUAAAAUAUUUUUUAUAUAUUUUUUAUAUUUUUUGAAUUUUUAAAUUUUAAAAAAUUAAUUAAAUGUUCAUGUGUCAUCUACAUGUAUGCAACGUUAGCGAAGUUUAAAAUAUAUUAAUUUUUUCAUUCGUGAUUUGAAAAAAAAAGGUAAGUUUAAAGGUUAAAAAAGCAUAAAUUUAAAUAAAUAGUUAAAAUAAUUUUUUUUAUAAAGUUAGAGAAUUAAAUAAAUUAUUAUUUUAUUUAAAAAUAAUUUUCAAUAAAUUACUAAUUUAGUCACAUAAUCUAAUAUAAUUUAAAAAAUAAUUAUUAACAUUUUAAUUUGUAUGAAUUCUUGUUAUGUAUGGAUUCUUGUUAUGUAUGGAUUCAAACCCGUUCGUUCCAUCAACAAAUUGAUCUGCAUGAGACUUAAGGGUUAGAAUUUUGUGUAACCCUUUUUCCUCCUAAUUUUUACUUUUAAAAAGAAAUUGCAAUACAAUUUUUUUUUAUAGAAUUCUCCUAUUUUUAUUUAUUUAUUUGCUUAGGAAGUUUUACUGACACUGCUUUUAUUUUUCCAUUAAUCAAAUUUAAGAGACAAUUCACUUUUUAUAAUUAACAAAAAAAAAAAAAAGAAAAUAAAAGAAAUUACUUUUUUCUUUUUCGUGUUCGAUACAAGAUAGAUGAAAUAUGAAAAAUAAAAUGAAAUGAAAAUAUAUUACUAGUUAUAUAUCACCUCCAUUAUGUAGGGGAAAGAAAUAAAAAUAAUAUUAAUUUAUGAUACUUCCAUAAUGUGGUUAAAAAUAAUUAUCUAGUAUUUUUUUGUAAAAAAAAAAGUUGAUAUCUAUGCUACUAAUGAGGUUUCUUAGUGAGUUUGUUACUACUAAUAAAGUUUAUUUGCAUGGUUGAGACCUUAUGCUUUUCAAAUACCCAUAUUUGAAUUUUAAAAAUUGUUGAAUUUUUAUUAUAUUUAAAAAACAAGUUAUUUAUAUAACUAGUAAUGUAUUAUUUUGACUUUUUUUUUAAUCGAGUUAAUGUUGGUUAUUUCGUUAUACCAAUUCAAUAAAAUAUUUUAUUUAUAUUAAAUUAUAGCAUACUCACGAUGUGGGUGAAGUAAAAUUAUUUAACAAAUAUAUUUUGAAAAAUUGAUAAAAAUACUAAAUGAGGUUUUGGUUAAAUAGUAAGAUAUAAUUAUUACAAAUUAUAAAUAUGUAGGUUCAAAAUCUAUCAUGUGUAUAUUUGUACUAUUAUUCUAUAUAAAUUGAUAACCUUAUAAAAGUAUCUAAUUUAGUUUAUGGUUGAUUGAUCGAUAAUACCAAAUUUAUUAAAAAUUAAUAUUAGUAAAGAUAUAUAGUACAAAACUAAACAUAAAAUUUUAUAUGUUAAGGAAAUAGCGGAAAAAAUAUCAUAUUUGUAGAACUGUUUAGCAGUGUGGGAGAAUGUGAUCAUUACAAGGAAAAAUGAAAUAUAUAUCAUUAAUAACAAACAUAAAAGAAAGCGUCUUUUGAUAAAGUUGUUAUUGGUGUAAUGUGAAGGGACCACAAUCAUCACCAUUCACCACUUGCUCCUAAUUGAGUUGAAAUCUUUUUACAACAUAGAAAACUAGAAGAUCGCCCUUUCUUGCUUCCUAUAUAUAGAUUUUGUAUCAUCGCAAUUUCACAUCACACACACAAGUAAAGCAUUAGCAACCAUAGCCAUGGCUUCCUCACCAAAACUCUUCUCUAUGUCUAUCCUCUUCCUUUUUGCCCUCUUCUCCAUGCAAAUCCAUGCUAGAGAGUACUUCAGCAAAUUCCCAAGAGUUAACAUCAAUGAGAAAGAGACAACAACCAGAGAGCAAAAGCACGAGACCUUCGUUCCCCAGACCACCCAAAAGCCAGAAGAACAAGAGCCAAGGUUCAUCCCUGAAACCCAAAAUGGUUAUGGCCUUUACGGCCACGAGUCAGGCUCAGGCUCAAGCCGGCCCAGUUUCACCACCAAAGAAACCUAUGAACCCUAUGUCACCCCUGUUAGAUUCCACCCUGAUGAGCCCUAUAACAGCAUCCCCGAAUCCUCCAACAAUAAAGACACUUACUACUACAACAAGAAUGCCUACGAGUCCACUAAGCAGCAAAACUUGGGCGAGGCCAUUUUCACCGAGAAAGGAUGGAGCACCAAGGAAAACCAGAACAACAACUACUACAACGGCAACAAUGGUUACAACAAUGGCGAGAAGCAAGGCAUGAGCGAUACUAGGUACUUGGAGAAUGGAAAGUACUACUAUGACGUCAAGAGUGAGAACAACUAUUAUCCAAACCGGUUCGACAACUCAAGAGGAGUUGCUUCGAGGAACCAGUUCAAUGAGAAUCGUUACAACAACAUGGGAAGGUACCACCAGAACCAAGAGGAGUUCGAGGAAAGCGAGGAAGAGUUCGAACCCUGAUCACCUGUCGUACAGUAUUUCUACAUUUGAUGUGUGAUUUGUGAAGAACAUCAAACAAAACAAGCACUGGCUUUAAUAUGAUGAUAAGUAUUAUGGUAAUUAAUUAAUUGGCAAAAACAACAAUGAAGCUAAAAUUUUAUUUAUUGAGC